UCUUUUUUUUUUUUUGUUUGGGUUGGGCUUCUGCGGUUAUGAACACGGAAAACUCUAGGGGUCCGAAGAGGCGUAAACGGAGCAAGAAUGCGGAAAAUGGGUCGAAACGGAGGCGUGCAAAUAUAAAGUUGGCUGCCUUGUGCGAUCAAAGCCGUCAACAGGACAGAAUCAGAAUGGACGUAUAUAGAAUUUACACGAAAGAAUGCAUUGUAGCUAAUGAUAUGCUUUCAGAAUUGUUAAAAAACUACCCCUCCGUCCCAAAUUACUAUUCGUUUUGACUUUUCUACAUAUCUAUAUAUUUAGAUGCAUAUUAAAAGGUUUAUAUCUAGAAAAGCAAAAAACGAAUAGUAAUUUGGGACAGAGGGAGUAAAUAAGUUUAUACUACUCCCUGAAUGUAUUGAAGUUGGUUGGCUUAAGAACGUUACAGAAGAAUAAAGGCUCUAAUCAAACACAAGCACGAACAUCCCAAGAGGAAGACAAAAGAAGAUACAUAUGCAAACGCUUGGAUCAUUCUCUUCCAAGACUUCGAAAAAAAAACAGAGACUUGAGAUUAUUGGCACAAAUAAAUCAUUGCAAGUUUGCAAUUGCAACGUAACUCGUGUCAUGCGCACAUAUUCUUGCUUUUUCUCGUGAGGGGGAAGGCACUCAUGUUCAUGUUCAUGUAUUAUUAUCUAUCGUACUAGUGCAGAUCAUCCCUCAAAGAUGGGGAAAGAAAAGAGAGAUCGAGUGCAGAUCGUAUACGGCCGGUGUCUGAUUCGUGAUCACAAACGGUACAAACUUUGUAUCCAAACCGUUGUACAUACGCGUACUACGUAUUUGUGUUGUCAUUGUUGGCUUGUCGGUAGUGUUCAUUGUUCAUUGCAGCGCUCCUUAUUAGCUGAAAUGCAUGCAAGUCUCUUGCAUUGGUUAAAAAUUAAGGGCAACCGAGCGGUCUAGGAGAGGGAUUAUUCAAGCACCCCAUAUACUUUGCGUACGUAUAGUACAUCGCUUUACUGCCGCCUGCGAGCUAUCAAUGUAUUGUUUUUUGUCUCCAACGGCUACACCGUACAUACACGUACACUAGACAGUUCAACAGGUUGCUCUGCAUGAGCCCACAUGGUAGACUUGCUAAGUUACCACUUACCACUAGACCUGCAACUAGUUCAUAAUCCUGAAGAAAAAGCGACGCAACCACUUUGAAUGCGAUUAGGGAUGGCCAGAUAAGAUGGCCUUGGACUAUGUUUUACCCCUUAAACUAUGCUAUUUGGUUCAACUUACACAUAAUGCAAUUUAUUUUUUUAUUUCUCCAUGCACAAGUUCAAAUUUUAAUUUGAGACUCUGUAAGGGUGGCAGUGGACAUCGUAAUCUAUAUUAAAAAUAUUUUAUGAAUUUUUCAUCAUUAGGUUAUAUAUAUUUUUUAUCUUAAAAAUAAAUUUUAUUAUUUAAUAUCCUACCUAUCAAAAUAAUGAUAAAAAUUUAUGAUCUUGCAAAAUUUGAACUUAAGACUCCACCUGUGCAUGGAGAAAUAAAAAAGACAAAUUAUGUUAAGGUGUAAAUGGAACCAAAUAGUAUAAUUUAGGAGGUAAACUAAACCAAAAUAUAGUUUAGGAGGUUAUUGGGCCUUUCGUUAUAUUUGAGGGGAGUAAUUGGGCCUUUCCCCCUUCAAAUAUGAGGAAAGAGAGCAAGUGCAGAUCGUAUACAGUCAGCGUCUAAUUACUCGUGAUCACUUACAAACUCCAUGUCCAAUCCAUUGUAUGUACGUGUACUACAUAUUUGUACCGUGUUGUUAUUGUUGGCCUGCCGGUAGUGUUCGGUGUAUCGUGACAGUGCUCCUUAAACGAAUGCAAGUCUCCUGCGUUGGUUAAAAAUUACGGGCAGCCGGCUUGUCUAGGAGAGGGAUUAUUCAAGCACCCUGUGUACUUGCGGACGUGCAGCACGACGCUUUACUGCCGCCUGCGAGUUAUCAAUAUACUGCCUCUUGUCUCCAACAGGUACCCGUACGUACACGUACCAUACCACUAGACGGCUCAACGCCUUGCUCUGAGCCCGCAUGUAGACUUGCUAAGUUACCAUUUACCACUGGACCUGCAGCUACUUCACGAGAUUAACAGCUAGCAAUCCUGAAGAAAAAGCGACGCAACCACUUUGAAUGCGAUCAGGGACGGCCAGGUAAAGAUCUGGGGUGCGCGAGCGGCUUCCUCUUUACAGGGCAGAGGCGCACGGCCGCUGCCUGCAUGGGACGAAUCCACCUCGGCACCUCGCUUUGCCGGCGUUCGUGCAGCUUCCGUCGCUCUGGUUGGUCUCGGUCCCCUCGUGUGUUUGUGCGCUCGAUCUGCCACCGGUAAACAACUGUGCAUCGUUGGGAGGGCACGGGGGACAACCCCUUUUUUCCUGCAAAUUCCAUGUGCCAUGCUGCCAUCUUUGUUUGCAAGUACUGAAGUACAAACAUGCGUUGCCUCAGUAUUACGAGUGGAUGGCAUUAUGGCAAAUGGCAUGAACACAUGCAGACUCCAAGGCCCAAGCUAAGCUAGAUACGGUCAUGUUCUAAUGCUGAAAACUUGUUUUUGUGCAGCUAAUAUAGAUCCAGUUAUCAUUGCUGUUAUUUUUUGUAUAGCCUUUUUUAUUUUAUCUGUAUGGAAGCCUUGUGUCAAAAAGAGAGCAUCUAGCUAGGCAGCGUGAUUUAUUUAUUUAAUUUAAUCUGCCGAAGAACUCUAACUGACUGACCUCGCGCUAAUAACCAGCCAAGUAUCAUGGUCUGAUCAUUACGGGCAUGUUACGCCGAGAGGCGCAGACGCGACCAGUCGCGUGACCGGAUGAAGCCACGCACUCGCCGACGACCCCACCGCUCAGCGCCGCGGGGAGCCGCUCGUGGUCCCACCUGUCACACUCACGCGCCGUUACAACCUGUCGGUGCGCGUAGCGGAGGUGGAGGCUCCCUCCCUCCUGCAGUCCUGCUGCUACUUCCCACCCGAAAACGAAACCGCAGCUCGCUGCGCCACUCCCUAAUUAAGGCCCCACUAAUUAAACCCUGCCUUCCCCGCUCACGCUCUCCUACUACCGACAUGUGGGGAUCCUGAUACAUUGGACCCACACGUCAUGGGGUGUGGCUGGGUCUGCAAGGUGUGGCUGAUCCCCGCCGCAGAAGGUGUCAGUGUGGUCAGCAGCUUUAAAAUGAACCCAGCCUCAGUCCCGAUGGAGAAGAAAACAAAACGGAACAGCCAGUGGAAGCCGCCGUGCCGAGGCGGACGGGAGGCUACCAACUCCGCCGCAGCCGCCGCGGCGCAGAGGAAUGCGGCGAGGAGCGGUGGGGCCGCCGCUGCAACGGUAGCUAGCUGCUGGGCUCGGCUCGGAGCGCGGGAGGGGAGCAAUGAGGGUGUGGAGGGAGGGUGCGGGGUGGUGCUUCUGCUCCGGCGGCGGCGACGACGGGGGGCGGUCGGAGCGGGUCAAGGCGGCGAUCUUCUCCGCGAGGGCCUCCGCGCUGGCGGCCAUCAAUGGGCAGGGGCACGGCAGCGGGAGCGGGCUCCUGAUCCACCGGAACCUGCUGCUCACCACGCACGGCAACCUGCCCUCGGCGGCCGCCGCCGAGGACGCCGAGGCGCGGCUCGUCCACGGCCGUCUCGUCGCCCGACUCGAGCCUCACAGGUGCGGAACUCUUCUUCCACCUCCUGACCUGACACCUUCCAAGAUCGCUCUGCACUUGUCUACGAUUGCUUGUGCUUGUGUGGGAUCGGAGGCUUUGGUUAUCUGGCUCUUGCAGUGAUUGCAGUGUGAUUAGCCUGAGAUCCGCCCGCUCCGCCUGCGGCCGAGCUAGCAUGACGAGUCGCUGCGAGCGGAGCCCCACGCGGCGGCAUUCGGCGGAUUCGUCGGUUGUGGUGGGCGAGCUGUUGCUAGUGCUCAUGAUUAGCCGUAAUGCGGCUGAUCAGGAAAGGGAAUUGCUUCUGAAUUGUGGGGUUUCUGUUGGGUAGUUAGUAGUAGCAAUCUUCGAUGUAAUGAUAGCGCCAUGAGCAACACCUCCAGCAGGUGCCCACAAAGAUGGGCGGUGUAAAUGGUGCCUUUUAGUUGUAGCAAUGGGCCCUGGUAUUUUGGAGAAGGUUUGCAUAGACCUUUCUUGGUUUUUGUUGAGUAUAGUACUGUUUAAAGUUUGUUUCUUUUCUUCCUGAGAAAGUCUUUUGAGGGCAUCCAAGAAAUUUUUUGAGUUAUGACACCCACAAGCGAUAAGUGGUUCAUGAUGGAAAAAAGUCAGCAACCAGCAAUCUUGGAUCAUGAAAAGUUCAAAGCGCCCUGUUUGUGCAUUUUAUGUCACCUCAGAUGAACUUUGCUCCUCAGUCAGAAACUGGGUCUGAAAAGCUGAGCACAUUACAUUUGUAUUCUUUUUUUUUGCCUCAAUAAAUUCUACAUUAUAGCCUUCCCACUACUUGUUGUUUAUGAAACAAGCCUGAUGUUCGUCUGAAAUGAUUUUCUUUUUGCACAGAUUCUUCAUUACAAGCUCAAUUCUUGACCUUACAAUAGUGGGUCUUGAUUAUACAGAAGGCGACUCAAAUCUGCAGAGUCAGCAACCUCACUAUUUGAAAACAUGCUGCAAACCAAGCCUAGAUCAUGGAAGUGCUGUGUACCUACUGGGACAUACGGGGAAAAAGGAACUGGUGAUUGGUGAGGGAAAGGUAGUUAUUGGCACAGACAAUCUCAUAAAGCUCGCAACAGAUGGGAUGACAUGGUGCCCUGGGUCUGCCGGUUUUGAUGCCCAAGGGAACCUAGCUUUCAUGAUUUGUGACCCAAUGAAGCUGGCCUCUUCUCCGGCUGCAAGAUCAUCCUCAGCAUCCUCGUCCUCAUCACAUUCGUGGAAGAAGGACCACCCAAUGCAAUUUGGGAUCCCCAUAUCUGUGGUUUGCGAUUGGUUGUAUCAACAUUGGCAGGGCAACUUGGACGAGGUUAGCAAGCCAAAGUUACCUCUUGUUCGGUUGAUGUCCAGCAGGAGUGAUCACUCAAGCACCUCAUUCACUCGUCGUCAUGUGUUCAAGCCUGACGACGAGAAUGAUGAUGCCUCUGUUUGUUCAAAGCCUAAACAUCAGCAGGCAUCAGGAAGCUCAGCCACUGCAAGGAUCUCGCAUGAAGCGAAUCCUCUAGUUGAUCUGCGCACUAGCAGCGAGCAAGGGAUUGCGACGCCAGAAAUAUAUGAAUCGCCAAGGCGAAGUUCUUGCCAGGCUCACAAGGAUGCUGCACCAGUUCAACUUUUGGACAUCAACUUCCCGCCCAGGGCUCCAAAGACUAUCUUUCUACCACUGCCUCUGAAGCAAAUGCUUUCCGAUGAGAACAAUGUCGAAACAUCCAGGCCAAAAAACCGAUCGAAAGGCAAUGGUUUCCCAUCAGGACUGAUAUGGCACCGUAACAGUGAGGCUGAGUGUAGGGACCCUCCAGUAGCUCUUCGGCAUGAGGAUUGCAGCAGUGAGGGGCAGUCGAGCUCAUCACCUGUUGAGAUACUGGAGUAUGGAGGUCAAGAUAAUUAUAGCAGCGAGGAGGAAACAAUGUACUCAGCUGAAACCAUGGAAAGCAGGAACAUUCCAAGCCCCAGGGAAAAGCAUGUGGGGAGGAGCCAGAGCUGUGUCACCUACAGCAGGUGGAGCUCUCCAAGAACCUCGUCGAUGCAAAACGGAACCUUGCGAAAGCAGCAUACACUGAUCCCUGUGCGGAAGACACACUCGCAGAACACCGCUCUGCCGCAGAGGAGUCAUGACUAUUUAAGCCCAACGGUCUCCUCAGCUAUGAAGAAGAGGAAUUCCAUGGAACAGCAACAACCCACAAAGCCUCGUCGGAGCGCUGUUCAGUCUUCGCCAAAAUGGAUGUUUUGAUGGUUCUGCACAUCUGGAUUUGUGGGUGGUGACGAUGAACAAAGAUUUGCCGUUUUGGUGGGAAUCUAUUGCUCCUAUGUUUCCUUCUCAAAGCUUAUCUGUAAGUCGAUGCUGUCUUCCUUGCUUUCUCUCUAUAUGAGACUCUAUGCGCAGAAUGGCUUGGAUAAAUAAAGAGAAACAGAAAGGAAAAGAAAAGGCAGAAAACAAGAAGAAAGAUUACAGAUCAAAUGUGUUGAGGGCAUCAUGUGUGAGCUCGCUGUGAAGUGUUGUUAUCCUUGUGUGUAGACUGGAUGUCUGGAUAAGAACUGUUACAGACUGUAGUAUUCAGCUUACGGAUUUUAACUAAACAGUUUAAUGAUGAUAUUUGUUUCUUUUUUUUUUGUUUUAUCCAUGGACAUGAGGACUAUAAUCAUUUUGUUUGCUGUGGCAUUGCGGUGAUGUGUAUGUCCUGAAUUGAAAUCAGGAGUCUUAAUAGGUUUGAGGGUUUGGCUACCAAGUGAGUUUUUAUUUUCCCUUUUCACUUUACUACUUGAAGCAGAUACUGCUACAGAUCUGAAUACUUUUUUUUUUUACCAGGCUACAGAUCUGAAUGCAGUUGAGGCUUUAGAGUAGAUAAUAUUGUCCGUAAUGCGUUGGUAGUGUGCCAGACUACAGCAAUGUAAAUAGCAUUUAUGGUGAAUAAUGUGGCAGAGUUCAUUGUGGUCCUCUACUCCUCUCCUGUUUGCAGUUCAACAUAAUAGCUUGGGGCUGUCACCAUUAGUCUGAUAGGAUCACUGACAGCCGGACGCCACCUGACUGAACCUGACGGAAUUUAUGUACGCAUUUCAGUCAUUUAGACUGAAAUUCAUCAGCUUCCUCCCUCAGAAUUCAGAAAUCCCUGGCUGAAAAAAUUCAGCUCCUACUGUGAUCAGGCACCCACACCAUUGGUUUUGCGAUGCCUCUGCUUUGUGUACGUGACGAGUGCUCCAUUGCAUGACCUACAGGAUUUUGCACAACCGACAGGCUUGAUUCAUGAACCGUGAUGCUGCGAUGAGCAUCUGGGACUCUGGGUUGCCUGUGCGACGGCAACGUCAACAAUGCCAGGCAGGCAGCUGGACCAGUCACGACACACACCAAGCACGAGAGGUCAGGAGUCAAACCUGGGCAAUGAAUCCAACUAGCAUGCAUCGGCACUGCCUCCUGUCGAGUAAUCUGUCUCCAGGCUCCGUUGAUGCCCUGCGCACAUGGAAACGCUGCUGCCACUCUGUCCCACAGGGACAUAGCACGCUCAAUCAUUUCUCCAUACAAUGCAUCUUCUAUUCUUUUCACAUUACAUUUAUACUUAUAUUCAUAUAUGUCAGCGUAUCACGCUCAUUCAUCUCAACAUUUAGGAGUCACCUUCACAUAAACACCUGCAUAUGUUUCCCGAAACAAAGACACAUCUCCGUAGCAUCAGAGUAUAAUUUACCCCAAAGGCUCACACAGCUAAGCAUAUGAAUAGCUUACAGGUUAUUCCAUGCAGAACGGAAGAUAAUGAAUUUGGGAAUGAGAUGAGAUCCAUCAUGCUAGCUUUUGCAGCUGAAAGUCAUUGUGUAAUCAUGAGCCUUAAACUGAACCUUUUGUAUCAUGAACGAGAUUAGAUGCAGGAGUUGCAAUGAGAAGAAAGGCAGAGGUGGUGUAGUAAGAUGCAAGUUUGAGUACUUCUGCAGCCAACGAUCAGAGAUGAGAAGAAAAGUUGCAUCUUGAUUACUUUGGAAAGAUUUGCACAUGAGCUAAUCAUUUCUUAUGUGACUCAAAACAUCACUUAUGGGCAACUUAGGCGCUACUUUUUUUUUCUUUUCCUUUUGGCAUGUUUCUGCCUUUAUCUUGAACAUCCUGAAGGAACUCUCUUUUACGAAAAAGAACAUCACAAUUUGGAAAUAAACAUAUAUUCGUCUGGAAAAUGGAUUUCUAAGUUCUAGCAACAUAUUAGCACCAUCAGCCAGCUGAAAUGUCAGAAGUCUUUUCUUUGAUAAAAAGUUAAGCCAUUCCAUACAGAAUUUUUGACAACAUAAUUAAGCAAACAACAGAAUUUUCUCAGUCAACUUCGAAGCAUGGACAUAUGAUGAAUGUUUAUGCAUAUUCACUUUGGCAGGCAAUUAUACAUCCUCUGUGCAGGAAUGGAGGUGCACUGCCACUGCAACACCGGAGUCAUGCUGCAAGUUCCAGAAAUAACUAAGCUUCACCAGCAAAAUAAAAUUCAUAGCUAAACUUAAGGUCAAUUUGAAAUGCACAGGGCAUUAUGCAACUUUUCUUCUAACAAAUUGACAAGCAGAAUGUCUUUAAAACUGGGUAAUAGUAGAAUAAAUGUGAAUUGGUCAGACAUAAAGCGCACUAACAAUAUUUAAUUAGCGUGUGUUGUUGAUGGGCAAAUUGAAGAACAUGACUUGUAAAUAUCCCACAUAUUUCAAAAUUGCCAAAUCAGUGAAAAGAACAUGGUUCCUGAAGCAUGACUUAUAUCAGCAUAGCGUGUAGCCAUAAUGUAGGAUCUGUCAAAUAUCUUGUGAAGACAGAAAAGAGCAAAGGUGGGGAACAAAUACAAUAGAUUAGCUGAUAAGGUCCGGUCCAUCCAGUCACUCUGAAAAAGAGCUGCCACGAUUUGACGAGCCAUCACAUUCCACAACACGAUCGGGGGGUGUUUGGUUCCGCGGACUAAAGUUUAGUCCCUAUCACAUCGAAUGUUUAGAUACUAAUUAGGAGUGUUAAAUAUAGACUAAUUACAAAACCAAUUGCACAGAUGGAGGCUAAUUCACGAGACAAAUCUAUUAAGUCUAACUAAUUCAUGAUUAGCACAUAUUUACUGUAGCAUCACAUUGUCAAAUCAUGGACUAAUUAGGCUUAAUAAGGCUUAAUAGAUUUGUCUCGCGAAUUAACCUCCAUCUGUGUAAUUGAUUUUAUAAUUAGCUCAUGUUUAGUCUUUCUAAUUAGUAUGUAAACAUUCGAUGCGAUAGGGACUAAACUUUAAUCCGUGGAACCAAACACCCAGUGAGACGCUAGGGAUGGCAUCCACUAAAAGGCACUAAAUCCCGAAACCUAAAGAAACCAUUAUUCCAGCUAUUAACUAGCCACUAUCAACAAGUAGUAUCCUAGUCAGACAUCCAUGUGUCGUGUCCAAAUGGAUAAACAAAAUCCCACAGGCAGAGGAUAGAGAUUGCUGAACACCCUAGCAGUGAUCUCCAAAUCAAACCAACCCCGUCCCUUUUUUUUUCCUCUCUCAAACAAAUCUAGUGUAGCAACUACACCACGUAAUAAUGAUCACAUCAAAAUACUAGCUAGAAGUAACAGCAAUUGCCACUUAACUAAGCAGGUGGGGAAUUUAUACAUAUUCCUUACUACCCCACUCUCUCAACUCUUACUCUGACCAAUUUAAUGAAUCCCGCGGGCGACAGCAGCAGCUGAGCAGCCGCGUCAGAGGUUGCAUCCGAGGCAGUCGCAGGACUUGGGCAUGAAGGAGCAGUACCCGAAGGGGCGGUUGGGGAUGUUGCAGUUGAUGGCGUAGCAGCAGGGCGCGAGGACGCAGGUGUGCCUGUCCCCGCCGCAGCAGGUGCAGGGCGCGCAGAGCUGGAAGCUCCCCCCAAGCCGCCGCCGCGUGUCGUUGAGCCCGAGCGCCAUCGCGCCCAGCUCCCCCUCCGCCGGGGCCACCGGCACCAGCCCCCGCCGAGAAGGCGCCGCUCCCUGUGCCUGCGCGCGGGGCAACAUGACACAAUGUGAGCGGAAUUGCAGGAAGUCCGAGCCAGAUUCGGGGGAGAUUCGGCGAUUGGAGAACGCUGGCGUACCUGGGAGCUGCUGGAGGCCGCGGCCGAGGAGAAGAGCAGAAACACGAAGAGCGGGAGGAGCUUGGGCAUGGCUGCUCGGCUAGGGUUUUUGUCCUGGGUUGUCGCGGUGCGCUGUUGCAGCGGGGAUUUGGAGUGAGCGAGGAGCGGGUGGGAUGGAUGGAUGGAGGAGGGAGGGAGGUUGAAGGAGGUGGCGGAGUGGGGUUGGAGGGAGGGAUCGGGAGAGGGAAGCUAGCUGGAGGAGGAAGUGAAGUGAAGAUGUGAAAAGGCGAGGGGCGCCUUGCCUGCCUCGGCUUCUUUUCGGAGAAAGCGAGGGCCGCCGGCUCGGGAUGGGAGAUUUGGAUUUGGAAAUGCGCCUCGUCGUCUCCCCGUGCGCACACGCACCAGCUGGCGUCAUGAUCUCUUGGCGUUGCGAGGGUUGAUGGCAUUUUGAGGAGUUACCGCAGUGCUGACCUGACCCAGCGCCAACAGCGGUGGCACGGGAUGGAGAAGGGCGCUCGAGCCUCGAGGACUCGAUCGACGUGCUUCAACGCUCGACGGGGGAUCGAGCAUAAUAGGUUACAGCAACAUGGUUGGGUGACAUUUUACGGGGAUGCAAGAUUGCAAUGCAAUGCGGGAGAUUCCUGCAGGGUUUGACGGCAAAUUGCUAGUGGUAGUGCUAUCAGAUGUAGACGAAGAAGAUGGGGUCCGACCGUCCGAGUCGCAGUGCUGGUACACACGCGUGAGCUUGAUGGACGAAUCUGUCGGGACCUUGGUACCGAGCAGGAUCCGGUGGCCGGUCCUGACAGUCCGCUGGAUUUACCAGGUUACGGGGAGGGAGAUCCUCCUCUGCAAUGAUUCCGCAGGGUGAUCUGCCUGUCCAGUCUACUGCCACGCCUAACUGUACAACCAACCCGAACGCGGGACCAAGAUCACAACAGAAACAUCCCUUUUAUCUUGUCCGUGUGGUUUGAUUUCUCGAUGCUGCCAUGCUGGAGAUGUGGAUCAUCUUUUGAGUCUCAGUGCUUCUUCUUUUUUUUUUGAUAAAGAGUCUCAUUGCUUCUUUGGUUUGAGUUGCUUAUUAUAAGCAACUUAAAGUUGCUUAUUUGAAGUUGCUUAUUUUUAAUAUAGCUGUUUGGAUACCCUUGCUUAUGAGCAUUGAAUGAGGUGGAUAUUGUCAUAUUUGCCUCUUGUGUUGCUACCCCUCUCUGCCUCCACACGCUUCUUCUUUCCUGCACACGCUUGAUCCCCGGGGUCGACGGCGGGCAGAGAGUAGCAGCAGGUGACCGGUGGCGGCGGCGGGGCGGGAGUGGGAGCGGCGGGCGGAGGCUGGCGGUGGCGGCGACGGGGCAGGAACGACGGGCCAGGGCGGGAGCGACGGGCCGACGCGGGAGCGGGGGAUCCGGCGACGGGGAAGGGGAGAGAGAGAGGAGUAGAGUGCAUUGAAUGAGGGCAGAAGGUGUAAAGUGCACCUUUUAGUCCCCAUAAGCAACUCUUGUGUUGCUUAUUUGCUAAAAAUAAGCAGCCCCAUAAGCAACCCAAUAAGUAAGGGUGAUUGGUUUCAUAAGCAAAUAAGUUACUUAUUUUAAGUUGCUUAUGCAUAAGCAACUCAAACCAAACAGGCUCUCGGUAUUGCACUCUUGCUGUAGGCUGUAGGGAUAAACUGUUCAAAGCAGCAAAUCAACAUUCACAGCGAAGAAUGAAUCCAGGUACCUGCCUAGUGUUGCCACGGCCCGCAAAUGCAGGUUUCAAAUAAAUCCAUGCGAUGGUAUAAUUUGUAAUAUUGCAGAAGAAUGAUCACCGGCAGGCUUCGGCUCCUUUUUUUCGGAGCAUUUCCUACCUCGCCAACUGUUAAAUAGUGCAGCAAAGUCAAAUAGUGCAGGCACACGAAAACUGGAACUCUUCCUUUAUUCAGAUUGCAAUAGGUACUCCCAAAGAUCUGGAUUAACAAAAAAAAAAGGGCUGUACAUCUCCGGUAGCAACUCAAUUUACAGAACUUGAUUCCGGCGGGGAGUUAGGAGAAACAUUCACAGCGCCUGAGACGACGCGGUGGAUUUUAUACAUCACAAGGUAGGUCAACAGAAGAAAAAAAAGGCGUCUAGGAUGCGUAUCCAGAACCAGAUGGGGAUCCCAGAAGGCGCCGAGCCAUAGGUACAUUAGUUGAAGCGGAUGCAGGAGAAGCUGAUGCUGAGAAACCAUAAGCGUAGACUCCCAUUGGAGCGGUCAUUGGAUGGUCGAACUUACAGUUGGCUCCAAACUUGCAGAUGCCAUAACGUGAAUAGAAUUUGCAGAGUUCUUCACCCUGGAAAAUAAACAUAGGAUGGUGUAUCAGCCUCUCAGGACAAUCAAAGGCAGUAGACCAUUCAAGGAAGUGCAGCAAAAGGUCUAGCUAAAGCCUAAUCAUGAGACACUAUAUGUAAGCAAUACCCACUGUUCAUUCAACAACUUGUAUGUUACCAAAUCAAUAAACAGAUAUACUUAGAGUGUGUUUGGUUGCAUGCACCACUUGAUGUAUGCAUGGAUGAUCCUAGAUGAUGGAGUUCAAUCAAUUUGCUCGUACCAUAUGGUUCACUCUUAUUAGUAGAAUAAUGUAUUAAGUGAGAUGGCUUCAUCCUGGAUGGGUUGAUACAAUUCAUCCAACAAAAAAAAAAGGAUCAUUAUUAUUUUGAACAAUUCCAUACAUGAACAAAUGGUAUAAGCAACCAAACACACCCUUAAUACCUGCCCUAGAAAAUUAAUAACUUCUGACAAUGCUCUAUUCAGUCCAGUCAUCAACAAUGAUGCUUGUCUACAAUAGUGGGCUUAGUGGCUGAGCCCUCAAAAGUUUUUUAUGAUAAAACAGAGCUCAACCAACACAUAACAAGAAUGGUCUAAUAAUGGUAUCUCGAAUCUGCAUCUUAAGCUUCUUCAGUAGUGUGCAUUUUUUGCUACGAGAACAAAUCAGACAUCAUUUGCAGAAAAAUCAUGCCACUGCAAAUCAAUCAUCUAGCUGAGAAACAGCAUGUACAAAACAUCCUUCAUUUUCUUAUCUGCCACAAAUCAGCUCUUUAUACACACGCAAUACAUCUUUGAUUUUAAAAUUCUCGGACUGCAGAACUGCCAAGCAGUUACAUAGAUGAAUAUUCUCAACAAGGAUGUGAUCUGUGAGAACAGCAUCCGCUGCUUCUCUCCCAAAAAGAGAGGUACAGCCAUCAAUGAAUGCAUAUGCAAUACAAUUGACAAAACGUCUAAACGAAUGAUAAAUAUAACAGAAACAGUGAAGGGUUGUGGUUAAUGACUUACUGGACGAAUUGGAAGACCCAUUGGACUUAAGACACAAUCUGGAGGCGGCAGUGAUCUCACCCUGGGAUGAUGGAACUUGCACACUGCACCAAAUUUACAAUCUCCUGUCUUCAUGUAAUAUUGGCAUUCUGGUUGAUCAGGUCUCUCAGGAAAUACAUUCUCUCUCUGCAGCGCAUAUUGAGGCACAGGAAACGAACUAGAUCUGUAGGGUGAUAACAUUCCCUGGUUUCCUGCGCUAGGUUCCCCUUGUUGAGAGGUUCCAUAGGUUUGUUGAGCCCCUGGUGACUGCAGUUGACCCUGAGAAGAUGAUACAGAUAGCAUUUGGCCCUUUAGAGACAAGUAAAAUCAGAAACUAUCUACUACCCUAAAAUUGGCUCCAAUAAUUUAUGUAAGAACAGGUUUCAGUGUCACAAAUUAUGAAACAGAUUAGAGAAAAUCAUUGCCUGAUAUGCAAUUUGCAGAAGAUCAAAUAAGUGGGAGAAACAAGUUCAAAUAGCUACAGACAAUACUUUUGCACUCCCUAUUCUUCUAGGGAAUCUCUCAAGACUCCGUGUUUAACAAAGUUUUGAAGGAAAUUAGUAGAACCAAUUAGUGCAAAUUGCAACUGCUUCAUGAUUUAAAAUUGCACUGCAUUACUAGAGCAAAUGAACUUACAGGAUAUGAAUUCCAGCUUGGCACUUGAACAAGACCCUGAGGUACAAUCAUUGGUGCAUAAUUUGAAGGACUUUGCCAUCUGGGGCUUGGGAUAUAAGAAGCUCGUGGAAAAGCCCAACUUGCCAUAGUUCCAGUAUAGGAUUGCGGACCAGCGCUUGCAGAGGAAUGUACAGAAGGAUAAAUAGGAGAACCACGUGAAGAAGGCACCGCAUUGAAAAGUUCCGGAUGGUGGAAUUUACAAGUAUUUGCAUAUUUACACUGUCCUGUUUUUAAAUAAUAUGCACACUCCUUUUCGUUCUACAAAAGUAAAGUGGACUUCUUUUCAGUACAGCAAGAAGAGACAAGCAUAGAAAAGGAAGGAUGUAUAACUGCCAGCAAACGAACGAACCGGGCGGAGUGGAUAUCCUAAUGUGUUUAGCUGCACCCUUCCUGCAAUUCCAGCCUUUUCCCUGGGAUGGUGAAAUUUGCAUGUUGGGCCAAACUUGCAUGUUCCGGUCUUCAGAUAAUACUACAUGAAAAAUGUUCAGAAAUUUUCAGCUUCGAUCUUGCACAAAGUAUAACCUAAAGAUUGUACGAUCAAACACAAAUACCCAGGGAAAUGUCAAGACUAACAGAAAUACCCAAAUGACUAAAGUAUGAGUACAAUCACAAUCCAGAUUAUCGUUCAGAAAUCUGAAGACUAUGCCUCAGUUCCAUUCUAGCUGCAUGAAUAACUAAGGGACCAGAACAUUGAUCUCUUCUGAUCUUGUCUAUAACUAUAUGAAUCUUUUAGCUACAUUGAUAUUCUUGUCUCUGCUUCUUUUUUAAUUGAAAGUGUAUGAACCAGCUAAGCAAUUUCUUAAAAUCAUCCUACAAGAAAAACAGAACAGAUUUGGUCAGUGACCACAUAGGUAGUGAUUGGUAGGCUGCACUAGUUGCUAGCCAUGCUAACUUUAACCCAGGCCAAUUUUGACCAGGCUAAAUCAAUGCAAAGUGCUCGUGUUUGGUUUGGUGGCUAAAGAUAGCCUGGUUUGCUAUGCUCAUGUUUGGUUGGCUGCACAAUGUGAUAAGAUGACCCUGUAUUUCCUGGAGUUGAAGUUACCACCCAUAUCUCUCCCUCUUCUCUCAUCUGCCCCGUCCUCGCUUCCACCUAGACGUGCCCCGCCACCGCUGACAGGCUCCUCGGUGCCCCAUCCCCUACCUCCAUCAUCACCUCCUUCCCACUUCUCCUCCUCCAGAGCUCGCUCUCACUCAUGCGGUGGUGGAGGUUGCGGCGAGGCCUUCAGGUGGAGGACUUGAGGAGCUUCGGCGAGGCUCAAUCGAGUUCGAGCACGGCCCAAUCGAGCUCCGGCGAGGCUCAAUCGAGCUCGAGCACGGCCAAUCGAGCUGGGCACAGACAAAUCGAGCUCCAACAAGGCUCCUCCUUCAUUAACGGGUGCUCGUCUCGCCAACCGAAGCGCUGCUCCCGCGCCGGCCGGAGCGCCGUGCUCCCACAGCUCCACUCCCGUGGCAGCUGCAUCGCCGCUCCCGCGCCUGUUUUUGCUCCUGCGCCGACCCAAGCGCCGCUCGCGCGCCUGGCUGCGCUGCCGCGUCGGCUGCAGCGCCGCCGCCACACGGGGCUCCGCUGCCGCGCCGGCCUGCUCAAUGGUCGGAGAUGGAAAAAGGGGAGGUGAGGUGAGGAGAUGGGAAAGCUACGGGAGGUGAUGAGAAAGCAGAGCGCCAGAGCCAUAGCUAAGCCAGCCUGCAUUGCUGUAAGCGGAUCUCAUUCUUGUUUCCAGUAAGCCUGGCUAGUACCCCUCCCCUACAUUAGCUAAGCCUGGUUAAAGGUCUUGUGCAUGCUACCAAACACAGUGAAGCUGCAUUAUGGGAGCCUGGAUAGGGGCUAUGCACCCUACCAAUCACAACCAUAUGGAACUGUCAACCACAAAACCAUUGCCACAAGUAAUACUUUCAUGACUAAAUCAUGUUUCUGAAAACAAUUACCACAAGUAACACUUUUAUGACUACAUCAUGUUUCUGAAUGAUAGAAGUGUUAGUUAUCAGAAUUACCUGACAUUCUGGCUGUCCCACUCUCUCAGGAUAUUCUCCCUUCAUUCUGGCAGAGGCAAUAGCCUAAAAUUAAACAGAUUCAACCUAAUUUGAGAACAAAAAAUGGGAUAUAAAGUAAAGAAACAACGAUUAGUUCAAUAAAGAUGUAGAUUUUACAAGGAAUAACUAGCACCAACCAAUGCAAAGCAUCAGUAAAGAACACAAUAUCAUAGCUUGCGGAGUAACUAAAAGCAAACUAUAAGACAAAUAGCUGCCUCUGUCCCAUUAACUUUGCUAAUAUGGAAUUGAGUUAUUCUGGCAGAUUGGGAGAAAACUGACAGCCACAGACAAUAGAUCAUAAACUAUGCUUCAAGAUCAUAUCACCAUACAAAUAGAAAAAAAAAACGAGUCACAUGGGACAAAUAGCACCAAGCUCACCAUAACAUGAACAGAUAGAAAGAAGGAUGGAGCACAAGGGAAAAUUAAUCAUAUUGACACCCUGCAAGCUAAAAACACAUAUUAUUCUGCAUUAUAUUUACAAAUUGUUUUAUCUGCAACACACCACAGGACUAGCAGAUAAACAGAAACAUCAAACAGCACAUAAGACAGGUAAGCACCUCAGGCAAAACCUUAUCACCAGCCUACUGAAACCUAUAUCUUUGUGUGUUUCCCAAUGGAAAAGCUUUUAAAUAUCAAGACAUGCCAUCACAGCUUUGCUUUUCAAACAUUGCUCCUUGCAUUUUGUUCAGUGGUGCAACAUUAAAUACAUCAGAGAAGGACAAAACUUAUAAAGGCUUUGGUCCAAGGGCAAAUUCUUCAAGACUACACAUGGUUCUACAAAUAAUGCUGAAAAUGUACAUAAUAACAGGACGCCGGAUAAUAGCAAAAUAUCUGGUGAUCCAAGAAAUAUGGCACAUAAAGAGUUUGUAAAAGAAGAUACUCACCAGAUUCCUAUCCGGAGGGUGAUUGAACCUGCAGCUCAUGCCAAAUCUACACAAUCCAGUCCUGAGGUAGUAAGUGCAGUCCGGUUCACCCGGCCGCUCAGGAUAUGGCCCAGGUUGCAUAGUGGCACCGCUGUUCAUGGCCAUCUGUUGCCACAUCCCCUCUGCAAUCAACAUUGCACAUACACUCACAACUUGACUAUAAACCAGUAUAGUUUGAAAAACUGAGAUCAACAUGUGUGUAAUGUGAAAUUUUCACUUUAGGUCUCUUUGAGUGAUGAAGCCAUCCACAUUUUUUCCACCGACGCUAUUCAUGCAAAAAUAACCUCCAGACAAGAACUAAAUCAUCAAUACCUUAUAGUUGUUCAGCAAAUUUCUAAGAAAGCAUCCGUUAAAUCCAGAUGCUAGACAAGCUAUAGCAAAAGGUAGAAUCCUUAUAAACUAGUCACAGCAUCACACGGCAAAAACCCCAAUUGGCCCAAUUCCACGCCGACGCGAAGAUCAGGCACCAUACAAAACUGCAGCUCUCGGCACCGCUAAAGUAACUGGGAUUAGCAACCCAUGGUUGACAACAGAGUAUUCCAGGAGCAACCAAUGAUUCCACCGAAAAACAUACGGAAAAACAGAGCACCUGAGCUUAACCUACACGGGAAAUUAAGCAUCGAAACCCCAAUUCACCGAACCGCACCACAGUUGGAGCGCGAGUGGAGAGAGGAGAUGAAGCCCUAACCUCCAUAGAGCGCGGAGGGGUCGGGGGAGGACGUGUCGGCGGCGGCGGUGGUGGCGGAGGGCGGAGGAAGCGCGGGUGCGGAGGUGGCGGAGACCGUCACCGCCGCGGGAGCGGAUGCCCUUCCGGCGUCGUCCAUCGGCGGAGAGUGGCGGUGUCGACUGCCAUCACGCGAUCAAGGCGGCGGGAGGAGCUGCAGCUGCCAUCCCUGGGCUCCGGCGAGGGAGGGGAGCAGCGAGUGAUCGGUGAAGAGAAGAGAAGAACAGAGAGGAGGGCCCUGCCCCUCGUAUUUAUUUCUCUCUCUAUUCUCUCUCCACCUUUCGGAGCCGCGGUUUGCUACGUGCACUCGCGCGUGGCGUUGUAGUGCAACACGCGCCUCCUUUCUUUUGGGUUGGCACGGGAGAGUGUUCAUGGCGUGUUUGGUUUAUGUCAUUAGCGCGCCGAAUACCACAUGUUAUUGCAGCAAACCGUGGGCGGGUUUGAUUCAUGUCAUUAGCGCGUCGCAUACCACACGCAAUUGUAGCAUAACGCAGAUGGGUUUGGUUGGUGCCGUGGAUUUAGCGCGUCAUAUUGCUAAUGCAGCCACAUGGCUCAUUUCGAGCGUCAUUCGCCGCAGCUUAGCCGCAUCCGCCGCAUAGUACGACGUAUUAACAUCAGCAUCCAAAACAUGCUUCUAAUCUUUGUUAUUUGAUUUAAAAAUAAGUGCGGUUGAAAAUAUUGAUGAAAAAUAAAAUUACGCAACUGUAGUGCUUGUCAUUAACUUUUAAGUGUUAAUUUAACCUAGAGAAUAAAAAGAAAGAGUGAUCAAUAGAGUUGGAACAGUUCCAACAUAUAUCAAUAGAGUUGGAACAGUUCCAACAUAUAUUUCAAUAGUAAAUUGUAGAGUGUAAAGUGAUUCCAUCUCAUGAAGUUUAUUUAUGGAAUAUGGAGUUUUUAUACGUGCUUUUUCAAGUUAAGUGGCAAUUAUCACCAUAUUAUGAUGAACAAAGUGAGAUAGAUUAGCAUUGGACCUUGAUUUAGGCAUCAUCGCUCGAUUAUCUUCAAGAUAUACGCUUGGUAGAGGCGUCAUAGGGUACAAGUGGAUUGUUCUAGUUCAUAGAUAUAAUUUAUUUUCAUUCCAUCCUUCUACUUUAAAAUUUUAGAUUAAUCUACUUUGAUGCAUUUCCGUGUUUUUCGUUCACUAAUAACCCAAAGAAAAGGAAGACAUGCAUCCCAUGCUCAGACCAUAUCACCAAUUACUUUCUCGUAUAAAAAAGUGUCUAAACCCCUAUUUACUUCAUAUACGCGGAAAUAACUUAGGCAAGACAAAACUACAAUAUUAACGAACAACAAAUGAAAAUGGAACGGUAAAAUAGGCAUUUCGAUCCAUGAACUUUGCACCAAGGGUCAGGUUCGUCCCUCAACUUUUAUAUUUGAUCAAUCUAAUCCCUCAACUUUUAUUUUUGAUCAAACUCAUCCUUUUUGCUGAUAUGGAGCUCCAUAUUAGCAUGACACUGAUGCAAAAAGUCCUUUAUACCCUUAGAUCCUUAUUUCCCUCUUCAAUUUUCACUGAAAUAAAUAUGAGCAUAUAAGUAUGAUCCAAAUGUGGAGCAUGUGUACCGUACCGUAAGUAUGUGAGCACAUGUCAAUUUUAAUUUUAAAGCAUGCUUACAUAUACUGAAUUGUAUAUAUACCAAAAUAAUAUAAGUACAUACUUGUUUGAUUACAUACAUUUUGCAUAUCAAAUUCUUAUAAUAUGCAAAAUGUACGUAAUCAAAUAAGUAUGUGUGUGUGUAUACUGCGUAUAUGCAUGAUUUAAAGAGUAUGAGUAGAUAUUUAGAAAUCAUAUUUUGUGUUAGUUAAAAAAAUAUAUUAUUGUGUGUAUGUAUUAAGGGAGUAUGAGCACAUACAUGUUUGACCUACAAGAGCCAAAGGGUAAAAGUGACUUUUUGCAUUAGGCUCAUGCUAAUAUAGAGCCCCAUAUAAGCAUAAGGACGAGUUUGAUAAAAAACAGAAGUUGAUGGACUAAAUUGGUCAAUCUAAAAGUUGAGGGACGAAUUUAUACCCUAGUGCAAAGUUUAAGGACCACCGUGUCUAUUUUUGCCAAAUGGAAUGUAAGUCCAUUUCCCACAAACCACGUAACGAAUCCCGGUGGUGCACGAGCCGACGUGCAGCUAGCAAUUUUGCAGUGCUCUUUUGUAUGCAUCUCGCAGUGCGGGGCUGCUGCUCAUUUCCGCCUUUUCUUUUCUUCCUUUUCCCUUUCUCCUCAAGCUCGGCCCCGGCUUUUAUGCGUUCGUUUCCUGGCCAUCUUUUUGUUCGGGUGUGAAUUGUGAGGAGAGGAGCAAGGGCAUGCGACCGGAGUGACCUCAGCCAGUCGUUCCAGCUUCCCUUCCCCUUUUCCCCCGCCGCGGCCCCUCUCCCUUCUCCCGGCUUCUGGCUUUUUCCCCUUUUUAUUUCCGCUCGAUCGAUGCCCGCGUAUCUCCCCUCCGCUUUCCAAUUUUCUCCCCCCUCUCCCUUUCGCUCGUGGUCACCGACCACUUGUGUCGUGUGCGAUUCCGGCGGCUUUGGGCCUACGAGCCCGGUCCUCUUCCUACGGCUCGGAGUUGGAGGUGAAGUGAAGCGAAGCCGAGCUUGCAUGCACGCGACGCGAGUGCCGCGCGUCGUGCUGUGCGGCGGUGGUCUCCACGGGCCUGGGUGGGAGUCGAUGGAUGCGCCAUGUCGCCGUGCCGCUCGCUGCGGCGGCGGUCACUCGCGCCGCCCGACCGUGGUGCUGGAACGCUGGAUCACACGGGAGCCGGACGCGUGCGGCACAUCAGAUGCGUGCGCGCGCCACUUCCGAAGGGAAAAGUGCGGCGGCACCGCGGCAGGCACGAAAUCUCGCGGAGUGGAUUUCGUCUUCCUGUGCCUUUCGCAUCCCCUUCGUUUCCUUCACGAUCACAACCGGCGAAAAAAAAGAGAGAAAGAACAAUUGGGUGGGUGCUAAAUGUCGCAUUGGUGACUAGGUGAGGCCCAUGGGCCUAACAAUUCUAUUGUCCGUCCACGGAACAUUCUUUUGGGUGCGAAUAGACCAUUUUACAACCGCAAACAACUAUUUGUUCUCGCUAAUAAAAAAUGUUCCGUACGAAAAAAAUAAGUGUUGAAGAAGAAAGAAAAGCUUGCGAUGUGUGGAAAAAAAACAUAUGACAGUCACAUAUGCGACAGCUAACAAGCCCUUCUUGUGUAGCGGUUUGCGAUAUGCUCCACGACCAGGCAUUCUAAAACAAUAAGAGUGAACAUGCAAAUAUUUUUGGAGACCCUAAAGAUAAAGAUGGACAGACAAUUCACUCGAAUUGCAUUUGCAGCCUUUUCGGAGCACGUCGUCUCCUGCAAGUCCCAACUUUAGGAUCGUGUUAUUGGAAUGUUCUCAAUUAGAGUGGAUCAUAUAGGUUAGUUACACCUCAAUCUCAUCGAUUUUUACAUGACGUCUCUCGCAUUAGUUUUUCUAUUUACAACACAUGAAACCUCAUUAUAUCAAUAUCGUGAAUAUAUAAGGAAAGGACAACAUCUAUAAAAAUAGGGCACAUGCCCUCCUCCCACAAACCCCAAGUCCCUAACCGCCGUAUAUGGAUCGAAAUGACCUUAUGGGUUUCAACCUUCGACGCCCGUAUCCGAGUCUCAUCAUGUUCACGGCACUGUGGUGCCAAGUGCCAACCCCAACAUACCCAACAAAGCUACCCUCGUGGAGUGGAUUUCUUCUUCCUGUGCCUUUUACAUCCCUUCAAUUUCUUCUUAAACACAAUUUUGGGAAAAAAAAUAAUUUUAAGUGGCUACAAGCCCUUCUUAUACGGCGGCUUGCGAAAUGCUCUAGAACCAGCAAGAGUGUGGACACGCAAUGUUCUUUUUUGAGACUCUAUUGCCAAGGUUACAAUGGAGAUGUCAAUCUCUGGUUGAAAUGGUAAAGAUGAAUAUGUGGACCAACCCCCUAUUCAGUGCACGUGGUGUCAGUGUUUAGACCCGGCAACCUACCGAUGGGGCAUCUGAGGUAGUGUUUAAUGUGUGGGGCUUGCCGAAGACCUGGAACUCGAAAGUGAACUCGAACACACGAUUUAGACAAGUUCGGGCCGCUUAUGUCGCGUAAUACCCUACGUCCUCUGUGUUGGUUGGAUUGUAUUGAUUGAUGAUGUUUGAAGGGGGUCCCUGCCUCGUCUUAUAUUGCCGGGAGCAGCAUUACAAGUCGGUUGUUUUACAAGAGUACUAGUCGGAUUCGACUAGAGAGUCCUACUCUAAUUGCUACGAGUAUUUUUCUAAUCCUCGACUAGUUCUUGUCCUUCACGUAGAUCACGCCGUCCUGCUUCGUAGUCUUCAUGUCCGACAUGUCUCGGUGUGCAGCUCCGUAUGCAAGACUGUCCAAGCCUCCCGGUGGACCUAUAGAUGUAUGGCUGACAUGUGGGCUCAUGCAAAAGCCCAACAAUUCUAACCGGGCCGAAACCGACACUAUUCACCCCCGGCGUUGGGCUUCACCGCCAAGCGAAUCGAUGACGAAAAAUGAUGGGCCCCUCUCAUCAAUCAACUCUUCUUGUCAGGCCGCAGGCCGAGAGAGAGAAAUGGAGAGGGUAAAAUGGUAAAAUAUGUGAGAACAGCAUUAGUCUACGCUUGUUAUUAGGGCAUUCACAAACAUCGGUUCUGCUGCCAUCACACCAGGACCUUCGUAUUAGUGGCAGUAUAGCGCCAUUUUUACUGGUUUAACUGCAGCAGAUACCGUGGAACUCGCAGUCCGGCACACUUGUCUCGGCCUCAGCUCAGGUCUGCGCAUUGCACUACUAGACACGAGAGGACGUAGUAGAGCAACAGCAAGCACGACAGGGGCCAGAUUCGAUUCGAUGGCACGGCAUGGGCGCAUGGCGCUCGCCCUGCGUCCCUUUCCCGUGAUCGCGGUUGCAGACGGGGCCCCCACCUCACAGGCACAGCGACUCGCGCGCGCCCUGUGCGCAACGCAACAUGGGCUACAUGGCAACAUGCCACAAGCUGGCACGUGCCAGCAGCCAGAGCCCGGGGACGAGAGGAGAGAAUCUCUCCCCCUCUGGCUCUCUCUCCUCUGGUCUCUCUCUGCACGAGGAGUCGAGCAGUUUCCCAGUUCCCUUCCGUCCCGCUUCUGCAACUGCAAGCCUGCACUAGCCACCAGCUGCACUGCUCGCCGCAGAACCCUGAACCCCCUGUGGCCCCCGGCCUGGAGUCCGCUGUGGUGGGGACACCGGGCAGGCGGGCUCCAGCUUUUCGCCAUAAAGAAAGAAGACUCUGCCGUCCCAUCGGCAUCCCUGACCAUGCAUGAGCUCGUUCAGUACGGGAAAACAUGCGUUAAUCAGGAUUAAUUAGCGAAUUAACCUUAUUUAUGUAAUUAUUUUUAUUAUUAAUCUAUGUUUAAUCCUCCUAAUUGUCAUCAAACAUGAUCCGAGUUAAAUUUUAAACAUUCCCUCAAGCCUCGUGGUUCCACGGCACGCCAACCACUCCCACCCAGGCACCCACGGCAGAAUUCUCCGCAGGUUAUCCAUGCCGUCUCCGUCAGGUCCGGGCUCCGGUACAUGCAGCCGAUCACGAGCCAUGAACACAAGGCCCCAAGUGGCCAAGCCGUGCGCACCGCCGCGCGUCGCGUGGAACGGUUAACUCUUGUUCUGGUCCGGCCGUGAAAAAUCUGAUGGUCCGCCUGCUGCGUGGCGUGGCGUAGAGUGUUGAAUGCGUGAUGGAGGGGGCCAAGGCCAAGCGACAGGCGUUGAAGCGGAGUGGAGCACGUAAAGCUGCGGGGGACAAGCCGAGGCAGAGACGGCAAGCGUCCAUCCGUCUCCCUCCCUCGUAGCCCUCGUCCUCUGCGUUUCAUUUUCAUCGCCACGCGCCCACGCCGCCCUAGUUCCAGAAGCAGCGGCAAAGCCGGCAAGCCAUUGCCACCCAAGAGAGAAGGAACGACCGGGGAGCUCGUGAUGAAAUGAAAUGUGGAUGCAUAGGGGUGUUAUUCAGCUGAACUGGUUAACUUCGAAGCUGGAAUGUGUGAAAUUUUGAACCAAGUCGAAUUGUUCCCGGUGAGUUCUGGUGGCAUCUUCUCCGUAGAAUUCUUGCCGCGCAAAGGGCAUCCAUGAUCCAUCCAAGGGACAUCAACACGAAGGAACAAUCAUGCGUUCAGUGCCAACCUUUUUUUAUCGUCAUGCACGAUAAAGAGAUAAACUGGCAGUAGGCCAGGCCAGCAGCAACUGAAGAUUAGAUCAAAGCAAGUCCAGUCACAGUCAAAAGGGAGAAUAGAUCAAAGCUGCUCCGAGCCGUAUGAUUGUGCGACCCACCCGAUCCGUGCCAAGUGCCAUCAUGAGAUCGAUCGCUGCCGUGCUACCCAGUGGACCCUAUCGGCUAUCGUGGCCGCUGCUGCUCUGAACCGACCGGUCCCGGCUCGAGCUGACCCGACCUGGCCCCGUACCCGUGCUGCACCGCACCGCACGGCACAGUGCCCGUACGCGAUCCCAUCCAUCCAUCUGCCCGUCGGACGGGUCACGAACCGUUCGGUCCCUUCGCGUGCUCGCCUCUCCGUUCUCUCCCACUGUGCGGCUGCGCCCCGCUUGGCGCUUGCCUUCACGGUUACAGCUUCAGUUCAGUUCGGAGCAGGAGCUCUCUGGCCCUGCCGCGAUCACGGGCUCGGCCGCCCGGCGGUGCCCGUGAGCCUGUCUGUCAGCUGGGUGAGAAUCUGCGCGGUGCGGUGAGGUGGUGUGGUCCUCGGCUCUGGGCGCGCGGGCGCUUGGCGUGUCGAUAUCACCCCGGCAAAAUGAGGCAAGGGGUUUAACGAGCUAGGUGCCGGUGGCAGCACCUCCAAUUAGUAACCAGUGAACGUGGGCGACGCAGCUGGAGCUUUUGACCUUUGAGAUUUGGAGCCCUUGGAACUUUGAAUUGGGGGGCUUCUGUUUUUGUGGAUGGACCAGUGAUCUGCAUGCGUCAAGCCGAUUUGAUUCUGUAUCUAUUCAGAGCGAAGCCAUUUUUUGAAGGGAGGUGGCUAGCUACUCAAGUCCAAUCAGAUACGUAGUUUCUUUUGCGGCUCCAUUUGUGCUCAAAUUCUAGUUUUCCGAGUUCAAUUCAAAUGCAUUUUGGUGAGCAAGAACGUACGGUUCUGUGAUGUGAGGUGACGUUGUUACGAUUGGGGUCACAGUAUUUUGUCCCAUGCGUGGCGUGCGCACGUUCAUGACAGUUACUUUGGCUCUAAGAAGAGACGAGCAAAAGAUGCUGACAAGAAGACACUACAAUCAACUACUUUUGUUCUUACCAUUCAAUGUUUUUGUUCAGGUUGUGCUUAGUUUAUUUGACUGGAAUUCCAGAAGAGACCUGCCAACGCUGUUAUUAAAUGUACCAUAUACUAGAAAUAACGUCAUAAUACAAGAUAACUCCUCGUUGUUGUUGGGCACAAUAGGUGAUUGCAAGACAAGGGGAAAAACAAUGAUGCAACUAGAGAUCCAAGCGUAGCAAGAUCGUAGUGUCGCAUGGAGUCAUCUACUCAUCUACCCGUCUGUUGCUUUUUUUUACAAAUAUGAAACUUUUGAACAAAAGAAAUAGAGAAAGUAUUAACGAUGGACCAUGCAUAAUAAUGAAAUAAACACGUGCACAAUUAAAAUGGCAACCCUGUAUAAUCACCUAAUCAAUCAUGUCAUGCCGUGCUAAGCAGUUGCGUGUAGUGACUCCGGGCAGGAGAAUGAACACGUAUCACCGAACUGUGGGAACGGAAGACCACCAGCUAGAAACAAAACAAAUGCUAAAAAAAAAGAGCUAGAAACAAAACAAAACAUAAAACGGACGCGACCGCGCCUGCGGCUUUUUACCGAAAAGGAAGGCGAUAAGCACAAAAAAACGAACGCGAAAGCCAACACCAAAAGGCAACCAGGAAAACCCACCGGCUUUUCCUGCCCAGCACCGCCUCCCUUCCCUCUCCCCCCCUCGUCGCCUCGCGCACGCACCCUCCCAGUCCCCAGUUCGUGAACUCCCCCACCGCCCCGUCUCGCCGCUCGCGCCUCACGCCUCCCUCGUGCCCGCGCCACGCCCACGCCCCGCAGGAGCACACGGCACCGCCGGCGGCCGGCAUUGCGGAGUCCCCGCGACCCCCGGCCGAGGUAACGCAUGAUCCUCUCCUCUCCUCCCCGCUUCUCCCUCCCUGCUCGCUACUGCUGCGGCGCUACGAGGCCUGCGAUAGACGCUGCGGUGUGGCCUUGCGUCGUGUGUGCUCGUGGUGGUGGCGUUGUUCUGCUACCGAGUUCUCUCGCCUGGUUCGUUCUCGUUGCAUCCUCCCACUUGUUGGUGUGCUCUGCGCGCUUGUUCAUGUCCCGGGCAGCGACGGAGUGCGGGGAGGACGAUGCGGUGACAUGGCACUGCCGCGGCGUGGAAUUCUGCCGUUGCAGUCGUCCGGUGGCGCCACCGUCGGGCUUGAUCCGGAUAAAAUCGUUGGGAGAGGAGUAAAGGGUUCAGACGAUUUGGGCGCUGUUUGUACUUUGUAGCCUUUUGUUUCUGAUGAUUCUGUUCUUCGUGGUCUAAGGUUUUUUUGGUUUAAUUCUUUUGCGAUUUUUUGGCUUGGGAAAAAGGCGUUCCUUUUGCUCCUCCAAAUUCCGCCCCCAUUUCGCUCCCCGUGCCGUGGCUUCAAUUCCUUCGUGCUGUCUCGGGCUACGUGCUAGCAGUGGUAGUACUGGCUGUUGUUUUAAUGGAAAUGCUGCUAUUGAAUGCGACUAUUUAAUUGUACUUGGUUGGUCAGCACACCCACACUCCCCACACGGACCCAUAAACAAAUCACAACCCAAAUGAUGGCCUAAAUCAGAGGGGAAGAAACAUACCCCAGCCGUCAUGCCAGCAGUAGUUUGAGUAUCUAAGAACAGGUCAUAAAUUAGUGGGUUUAUGGGAUUAACAGUUCAUUAACCGGGUCAAGACAAAAAAAAGUCCGUGUCUCACUUGCAAGUUUCAGAUAGCCCCCUGAAAUUUGUAGCCACUGUGGCUAUUUACAUUGUCUGUUGAUCUGGUCCAAUUCUGUUGCUGGCUUCUUCCUGUCAGUGGGGACUGGGGAGGUGGGUUAAGAGAUUCUUGUGGGGUUGUCAUGGGGUUGAGUUUGCGGAGAUUCUUGUGGGGUUUGCUAUGCUUGCCUUCAUUUAAUCUGCAGCGGCGCAGGAGUAAAUGACAUGCCAGUGUCUAGUGUUUUGUCCACUUGAAUUUUGCGGGUGCCUAGUCACUUGUGUUGGAGCUUGCGGGUGAGGUGAGAUUUCAGGCAAGAUGUUGUGUGUGGGGGUAGGCUUUCCUGUGCCCUGGAGUUUGGAGAGUGUGGUUGCUUCUUCCGAGCUUCUGUGGGGGGAGGCGGCAUGCCUGUCCGCCUUUAUGAUGAUCGGUUGGUUUUGUUUCAUCUGAUUAGAUGUAAAGCUGUAGCACGCUGGAUUUUGGUGUGAGAGAUGGUGUAGUGACCCUUUCUUUUCUUGUACUACUAAAAAAUAGUCGAGGGCUUAUGAUGGCUGCAUUCAUGGGCUUCUUGUGCCGGUCUGCCCUGGUUCUUUGGCUUUAGGGAGGGGUUUCCGUAACUUCUGCUCUUAUUCGUGCUGAUCUGAGAUAGGGAUAGACAUGAUGAUGUUGUGCCUUUUGGGGGCCUAGCAUGGUACUACUGCUCUGUAUCUUUGUGGGAGAGAGGGUGUUAAACACAGCGCCAUGGGCAUUUUCCAAAGCGUCUUGACUAGAUUUUCAUACUCUGAAUUUCUAAGGGAGAUUGAUAUUUAUUUUGGAACUUUCCGCUUAUACUGUGUGAUGCUCUGAUUGAAGUAGGAUGGGCGUAUUUGCUACCUGGUACCUUGAGCUGAUGAUUAUAUGAAGCUGAGUGUUCCAUCCUUUUGUUUUCUUCAGGGCAUGUUUCUGGGAGAUCAUAACGCCCUAGAUUGAUUAUGGUUCGUCUGUUGCACUUCUUUGGUAACUUGUGAGAACAGGAGAAAAGAGCCAUAGUUCCAAAGGUAAUUUGGUUAGUUCCUUCUUUUGAGCUGUAUGCUGGUAGUUGUGGAGUUGUCAUUGUGUUAUGCACCUGCAGUGAUUGAUAGGACUCUGUUUGAUGUCUAUCAUUACCUCUAUUAUUUUAAGAGGAAGCUAUCAAAUGUAAUGACUUUCAACCAAGGCUAACCAUCAUAUAUUAAGUAUAUUGACAUGGCUUUGACCUUUUUCGUCCAGGAUGUGUAUUAAGUAUACAUUGUCGCUUGGUUGUUGCUCCUUCUCUUCUGCGCCACUUGAAGGAAGAAGACUGUGAAAUUAAAAGGUAUUGACAUGCAAUUACUGUUCCAUUUUGUCCAAAAGUGCAUUCAGCUGUCUUUCAGUCUUGCAAAUUUGCAAACAUAGCUAGGGAAUUGCAUACAUACAGUUCUGGCAUUACAAAAAUUAGGCAUUAUAUGUUCAAAUUCUAAACUCUGAGAAGGAGAUAAACAAACAUAUUAUUAAUGGUCUCCUAGUCGUUUUAAUUUGUCUGUGCUCUUCUUUUAUGACCAACAUAAGAAGAAAUCUUAAUGUUUUGUUGGAGGCUUUUGUUCUUGGACAUAAACUAGCUAUUCGUUUUAGGAUCUGGCUGGUCCAAAACAUUUGAAAACCAGAUUGCCUCUUUAUUUGACUUCUUUUGUAUGUUGAGGAAAAGGUCUAGAACAUAUUAUGUCCUGCAGCUCAUGUUACAUUGACAUGAUAAAAUUAUGCUAGACUUCUGUUUGGAUCUUUUGCAGUAAUAACUUGACUAUUUUCUUCUUGCAGAUUACAAUCAAAACUGUUGGCAAUGGGAUCCCAUGGUUUCUUCACCUUGAUCCUACUUGUAUGUUUUAUCUCAAGCUCUGCCCUUGCUGGACAUAGUGAUAUAAGUACCUUGGUCAACCUGAGGGACGCGAUCACUGAAGGGAAAGGAUUUCUCAGUAACUGGUUUGAUUCAGAAACACCCCCAUGCAGCUGGUCAGGUAUAACUUGUGUGGGGCAUGCUGUUGUGAAAAUAGACUUAUCCUCUGUGGCAAUUUAUGCCCCAUUCCCGUCAUGCGUCGGGUCGUUCCAAUCACUUGUUCAUCUCAACUUCAGCGGUUGUGGGUUUUCUGGUGAGCUUCCAGAUGCUUGGGGGAACUUGCACCAUCUCCGGUACCUUGAUUUGAGUCAUAACCAGCUUACGGGGGCCCUUCCUGUCUCAUUAUAUGGACUGAGUAGGUUGGAAGAACUGAAGCUUGACAAUAAUUUCUUUUCUGGGCAAUUGAGUCCUGCAAUUGCACAGCUUCAGUACCUUAAGAAGCUAUCUGUAUCCAUGAAUUCCAUCUCUGGUACCCUUCCUCCAGAGCUGGGCAGUCUGCAGAAUCUGGAGUUCCUGGACCUUCACAUGAAUGCAUUCAAUGGGUCAAUACCAGCAUCUUUGGGUAAUUUGUCUCGGCUGUUGCACCUUGAUGCAAGCCAGAAUAAUCUUGGUGGGUCAAUAUUCCCAGGAAUAACUGCAAUGGCAAACCUUGUGACAGUCGAUCUCUCUUCAAAUGCCUUGGUGGGGCCACUACCUAGGGAGAUUGGUCAGCUACAGAAUCUUCAAUUGUUAAUAUUGGGACAUAAUGGUUUCAGUGGAAGCAUUCCAGAAGAGAUUGGUGAACUAAAGCUGCUGGAAGAGCUUAUACUCCCCGGAUGCAAACUCACAGGUAUCCCUUGGACAGUUGGUGGUCUCAGAAGUUUAAAGCUACUCGAUAUAUCAGGGAAUAAUUUUGAUACUGAACUCCCAGCAUCUAUUGGCAAUCUGGGAAAUCUGUCUCGUCUACUUGCAAAGGGUGCUGGGCUCAGUGGGAAUAUUCCGAGAGCACUUGGUAGCUGCAAGAAGCUUGUGCAUGUUGAUCUGUCUACCAACUCCUUUUCUGGCUCUAUACCUGAAGAACUUGCAGGUUUAGAAGCCAUUGCCAAUUUUAAUGUGGGACAGAACAAUCUGUCUGGUCAGAUUCCAGAAUGGAUCCGGAACUGGGUGAAUCUUCGCUCCAUAUCGCUGGGGCAGAACAUGUUUUAUGGACCCCUGCCAGUGCUGCCAUUGCAGCAUCUGGUUGCUUUCUCUGCGGAAACCAACAUGCUCUCUGGUUCUAUUCCUGUUGAGAUAUGCAAGGGCAAAUCGCUGCAGUCGCUGAUAUUGCACAAUAAUAAUCUGACUGGGAAUAUCAUGGAGGCAUUUAAAGAGUGCAAGAAACUUACAGAACUUAACCUGCAAGGAAACCAUCUUCAUGGUGAGAUACCCCAGUACUUGUCUGAGCUACCACUAGUAAGUGUGGAAUUGUCCCAAAAUAACUUAACAGGGAAGCUGCCUGAAAGUUUGUGGGAAUCAUCGACUAUUCUGGAGAUCGCACUCAGCUACAAUCAGCUUACUGGCCCUAUACCUGAAAGCAUAGGUAGGCUCUCCAGUUUGCAGAGGCUACAAAUCGACAGUAACUACCUGGAAGGAUCUAUCCCGCGGUCAAUCGGCGCUCUAAGAAAUCUGACAACUCUCUCUUUACAUGGCAAUAGGCUGUCUGGGAACAUUCCACUAGAGCUCUUCAACUGCACAAACCUUGUUACCCUGGACCUGAGCUCUAACAAUCUGUCUGGCCACAUCCCAAGGGCCAUAUCUCAGUUGACAUUUCUUAACACCCUGAAUUUGUCUAGUAACCAGCUGUCUGGUGCUAUACCUGCUGAGAUCUGUGUCGGAUUUGGGAAUGCAGCUCACCCCGACUCGGAGUUUACUCAGCAUCACGGCUUGCUUGAUCUUUCAUACAACCGAUUGACCAGUCAUAUCCCAUCAGCGAUCAAGAACUGUGCUAUGGUUACAGUGCUAAACCUGCAGGGAAAUAUGCUGAGUGGCACCAUUCCACCAGAGCUUGGUGAACUGGCAAAUGUUACAGCCAUCUAUCUUUCUGAUAACACAUUAGUUGGCUCGAUGCUUCCCUGGUCUGCACCAUUACUACAACUGCAAGGCCUUUUUGUCUCUAAUAACCACUUAGAUGGCUACAUUCCUACUAAUAUUGACCAAAUACUUCCCAACAUUGCUAAGCUAGAUUUAUCAAGUAAUGCAUUUACUGGGACUCUACCCGAGUCUUUACUGUGCGUCGAUGACCUGACCUAUCUGGAUGUUAGUAAUAACAGCCUCUCUGGACAAAUCCCAUUCUCAUGUCCUAAAGAAAAGGAAUCCUCAAGCUCACUGAUAUUCUUCAACGGAAGCAAUAACCAUUUCUCAGGGAACUUAGAUGAGUCUAUUUCAAACUUCACAAAACUGUCUUCUCUCGAUAUCCACAACAAUAGCCUCACUGGAAGUUUGCCUUUUUCACUUUCUGGUCUCAGUUAUUUGAACUAUCUUGACCUCUCAAGCAACAACUUCCAUGGCGCCAUCCCUUGUGGCAUCUGCAAUAUAUUUGGCCUCACAUUUGCCAACUUCUCUGGUAAUCACAUUGGCAUGCACACCUUAGCAGAUUGUGCUGCAGAAGGCAUUUGUACUGGAAAUGGUUUUGAUCAUAAGAUGCUUCAUCCAUCUGAUCGAAGAGUUCCAAGAGGAGCAAUUGUUUGUGUUAGUAUAAUCAUUGCCAUUGUUGUCUUAGUGGUUCUGGUGGUUCUUGUGAGAUGGAAGCUAUUGAGAAACAGACCAUUGGCUCUUGUACCUGCCAGCAAGGCCAAGGCUACUGUUGAACCAACCUCAAGUGAUGAACUCCUAGGGAAGAAGUUUCGAGAACCCCUGAGUAUCAAUCUUGCAACAUUUGAACAUGCACUUUUGAGGGUCACUGCAGAUGACAUUCUGAGAGCCACAGAGAAUUUCAGUAAGGUGCACAUCAUAGGGGAUGGUGGGUUUGGCACUGUCUACAGGGCAGCACUUCCUGAAGGCCGGAGAGUCGCAAUCAAGAGGCUUCAUGGUGGUCAUCAGUUCCAAGGUGAUCGUGAGUUCCUGGCUGAAAUGGAGACAAUUGGAAAGGUGAAACAUCCUAACCUUGUUCCUCUACUUGGCUACUGUGUGUGUGGUGAUGAAAGGUUCUUGAUAUAUGAGUACAUGGAGAAUGGGAGUCUUGAGAUGUGGCUCAGGAACCGGGCUGAUGCCAUCGAAGCACUUGGAUGGCCAGACCGCCUGAAGAUCUGUCUCGGUUCUGCCCGUGGGCUUUCGUUCCUCCACCAUGGCUUCGUGCCCCAUAUCAUCCACCGUGACAUGAAGUCAAGCAACAUUCUAUUGGAUGAGAACUUUGAGCCGAGGGUCUCUGACUUUGGCCUUGCAAGGAUAAUCAGCGCAUGCGAGACUCAUGUCAGCACUGACAUCGCUGGUACGUUUGGCUACAUACCUCCAGAGUACGGCAUGACAAUGAAAUCCUCUACCAAAGGUGAUGUCUACAGCUUUGGUGUUGUCAUGCUGGAGCUUCUCACUGGACGCCCACCUACAGGGCAAGAGGAGGGGGAAGGGGGUGGAAACCUAGUUGGCUGGGUGCGGUGGAUGAUUGCACAUGGUAAGGAGCAUGAACUGUUUGAUCCUUGCUUGCCAAUAUCAAGCUUGUGGCGGGAACAGAUGGCCUGUGUGCUUGCCAUUGCCCGGGACUGCACUGCUGACGAGCCAUGGAAGAGGCCAACCAUGCUGGAGGUGGUGAAGGGCCUCAAGAUGGCCCAGACAAUGGAAUGUGGACCUCCGGUGGUGACAAUUACUAGGGACGUGUAAUGCCGGAGGUGAAUGUUUUCUUGCUAUUGAUGUAAUAAUGUAAGUUCCUUGUAGCUGUAGAGUGAGCUGUCCGGUGGCUGUAAUGAGAGAAACUAAUGCUGCUCAUGUUCAGGCUGUAGUUACUCAUGUAACCUUUUAAUCUGGCCCCAGUCAGUUUCUUAUCUUGUAUUCAAUUGGCAGGGUGUGUUUCAUAAGCUCAGAAGCUGCAGUGGCUAAGUUUUUCGUUUUCCCUGUGUUGAAUUACUUAAUAGAAUUGACAGUACUAGAUUCAUCCUUAUUUCUGUCAGAUCCAGCUCCUGUUUUUUUUUCCUCCAUUCUACUUUGUUGCCGUUUGUGCCGCUGCUUUGACUGAAAGUACUUCUUGCUGUUUUACCUGUAUAUACUUGAGUGCUAGGUCAUUUUGACUUUAUUAGAUUCAUAGAUUUUGCUAUCUACUGGGAUAUACCCUAUGUCAAGAUGCAUAAUAAUAUCUAUGCAUCUAUAUGCAUCUUGAAAAGCCAAAACGGCCUAUAAUUUGGAACGGAGGGAGUAUUACAAAACUGCUAGCACUAUGCUCAUAGUCCUUGCUCAGAUUCAGCUCAUGCUGUUUCGUCCUGAUUUCCCAGGUAUUGUUACUGGUGCUACUGCUGUGUAGGAAUUAUUAUGCAACUUUGCCGGGCUGAAGCAAAAAAAUGAUUUAAGGACCCAGGGAGAUGAGAAUGAAGCACCGAAGCGGAUGGACAAGUAGAGCACUAGCAGCGAAGUGAGGAAGUGCUCUUGUCUGUAUUCAAUCUGGCUCGGCGUCUGGGACCUCUACAUUCCCUGAAUCAUGCAGACCACUCCACUGACUGCUGUGGUAUUGGCAGGCGAAGAGAAGUGAAUGUCCUCAAGGCUUCAGGGAGUCGCUGGGACAGCUGGGUGAUGCAGCAAUGGAUAUUUGAGCAUUCAGAUAGCUCGGAUCAUGACUCCAGAGUCAUGACUGACUGGAGGGUCGAGCUUGAUAUUCAGGUGGCUCCGGUAGCUUACGGGUUGGAGCAGACCUGGAGAUGCAAUCUUACAUUGCGGCAGCUUAUAUGCUUAUUCACCUGGCGAAAAUUGCAGCAUCUGAUGAUGUAUCCUGAAAGCCAAAAAGGAAAGGGGACAAAUAAAGGCAAAACAAGGGCAAAUUCGGGACAGGUCAAAUUCUGCGGAGGCAAAGCAAGGCGGCCGAAACACAGCCGAUUGCAUCAGUGGGCUGGAAUCAUUUAGGCCCAAUUAAAACCCACUGCAAAUCCACUAGAGUCAGGCAAGCGCUCGCUGUGCUGCAGCUGCUGUAAGAAGAUCCGCUCCCGCUCAAAAUAAUUUUUUUUUUGUGCUCGGUGCAUGUUGAACUCAACUAAUAAAACAAGAAACGGGUCAACAGGCAGGUGAUAGAUUAAUAAUCUGUAAACAAAUGCCGUAGACAAAGCAAGCAAUUAGUUCCGCAGGCGCGCUGGUAAAACACACACGGCGACCAACUAAACAAAGAGACGAGCGGCAGCUUUGUUGCGUAUCCAUGUGCGCAUUGCGGAAGCAGACGGCAUCGACCUGAGGUGGCAGCAAGACCAAGCGGUAGCCAACAAACGCCCGUGCCGGGGACUCAGUUUUUUUCAGAACAGGAACCGAUGCCGCCGGCUCGAACAACAGACAAGAGCGUGGAGCUGCAAGUAGCCAACUCGGUAGCAGCUGGGACUGAUUGAGCUUGACUGCUUGAGUGCCACAGGAGGAGGUAGGCAGGUCACCAAACCCUGAAAGGCCUGAAACCCAUUGCCUACUGCUGCUGCUGAUUGCGGCCACGCACGCCCACUGUUCCGUGGGACCCAGCGGUAUCGUUAUCGUUCGUUUCGCCUCGGCAAACAAAACCGCUGAUCAGUGGGAGCAAGUGGUAAUGGUAACUGGUAUCGAUAUCGUACGAUCGCAUGAGACCCCAACGGCUGAGAUGCACGCAUCUGCAGCGACGGACGACGCUACAGCCCCGUUCCGUACGAACAGGGCACAGCCACAGCCCACAGGUACGCGUGUGAUCCUACACGUGACCGGUCGUAAAUGAAACGCGUCUGAAACCGGGUCACAUGACGUUGGACGCGCGCGCGCGAGCGCUGGCCACCACCACUCCCCGUCGCGGCCUCGCCCAUGGCCCGUUGCCUACGCGAAAACCCCCGUCACCCUGCCCCCGGAUCGCGUAGCAUCUGCCCUGACCCCCCGGCCCCGAGCGUAGCAGUGGAGUGUACUCCACACAAGUCCGUGUCUGAUCGUAUCGGCCGGCCGGCCGGCCGCCGGCCUAAUUAAUCGGCCACCAAACAAACCCUUCCUUCCUGGGGCUGAGCGUGAGCGCGGGGCCUGAUCGGGAGGAGGGGGACGGCGAGUUAAGAGCGGCCGUCGAGGGUCACGCAGCGCCAGCGCGGACGGACGACGGCGCGUCCGGCGAUGGGGUUUUAUUGCUGUCACGGACACGUACGCCUCCGCAGCUCCGCUGCCCCUACGGGCGCGCGGUUUCCGUUGCGGACCAAAUCCAGCAAGUACGGGACAGCAGCGCAUUGGGGGGACGGGAGAGUACGGGACCAUGGAAAUUGAACAGUGCCUGUCGCCCGGACCUGCUUGGCAGUGAUGUCGAAAAAAUACCGAAAUUUACAGAUUCUCCGUGCAAGCAUUGGUCGGUAACUUUGUGCAAGGAAAACUGUGAGAUUCUAAAUUGGGAUCUGCUCUGCUCGCCGGAAUGAGGACGGAGGAAGACGGCUUUGAUUAGUUGAGGCGUCCCAAUCGGGUCACGUGAACCGGAAGCGUCCAAGCCAACCAGAGCGAAGGCGGUGGUAUGGCAGCACGCCAUGCAUUUGGAAGGUUUUGGGCCUGUGAGCGCGACGGGCACGACGCUGCCGCAGAUGUCCGGGAGGAGCCAGCACUACUGGCGGGGGCAGACUGUUCUAUCCUAUCCAGUUUUCGCGUCAGAUGCCAAGCUCAAGCCACGGACAGUUCGGAUUUAUAAGCUGGCUGAAAAGUUGAAACGCCUGAUUUGUUGUGAGAGAAAAACACUGUUCAGUGACUGAUAAGCUGGCUGAAUAAGCUGAAGCGAACAGACCCAAGCCACCCACCCUAGGUUGCGAUCACUGGCAGUUUGUGACCACGAUGUGACCUCUGGGGUUUGCGCUUGUAGCGGCGAGCACUGGAACGUGUGCUUCGGCAUGAUCCUACAUGCAUGGUCAGGUCACGGGAGUGGACUUCAGAUGCUGCAAUGCUGCGUGAUGGGUACAACUACAAGGCAUAAAAUUGGAGUGGUAAAACUCACUGGAAAGCUCGUGAAUAGACAUCCUGUGCAGUACACGAACUUGUACGAGCGGACAAAUCGCCAUGGGAGUUCUUCUAGCACUAGCACACACAGAGGAGGAAUAUUUCAAAUUUGGAUUGAGCCAUGAGCCUGGAGAAGUCACCCCUCGAGAUCAGAAAACCAGAUUCCACACCCCAACCGCAAGCCAGAAGCCGGAACACGCACUCGCUCCCAUAAACGGCAUGCAUGCAUGGGCGCCGGCGCCCAGAGGAUAAACAACGCCGCUGCUCCUUGGAGCUCACGCCACAUGAUCCGAACCGAGCACACCACCACGACGACCACACCUGGUACGUACAUCCCCUGACGCACUGACUGACCCCUGGCCUCGUGACCGCGGAACAGUGGCCGUGCACGCGCGCAUUCACGACCCCUCACAUGGACGAAGCCAUCGACGCGGCCGGGUGAAAGGGACCCGAGCCGAGCCGAGCGAGGCCAGGCCGGCAGCGGCAGCGCACGGCCGGCCGGCGCCGUGGACGCAAACCGCCGAGACGCGCGCGGCCGCGGAUCACAUGCGCGCGGCGCGCCCGAACCCGCGCCGCAACAGUCGGCUCGGCAGCCUAGCCCAACCAAACCCAACCACCGAGGCAGACCACAGAGUGAGGGCAAUCGGACAAACAAUAAACCCAUGGAGUACCGUGUAAAGCGAACAAUUAAGAUUUUUUCGUAAUGGCGGUAGUAAGGAACAGGAGGAGAAGUGAAGGCAACAAGUAGCAAGCCAACAAGAAAAAUCCCCGGGGAAAAAGUGGGCUACGUACAGCGCACCAGCAGCAAUGGCCAAAGCACAAGCAAACGAAGCAUGCACCAACUCCGACGACACGGCGACGACCAGGACGGACGGAGAACGGGCGGGAGGAGGAGCCGAGGAAGGCAGCCACGGAGCCACGCACCCCAGGCGCUCCCUCGCUCGCUCGAGUCCGUCCCCACCCUGCUCCACAUGGGGACGGUCGGAGGUGGACGGCAGAAACGGACGACGGCCUGUGACGACUGACGAGCCGAGAGCGUACCAUGUACCUACUCCCCCUGGCUUGACGCGGCGCUAGCUGUGGCGCCGGUGGGGGCCGCUGGUGCCGGCGGCGGCCUGGGCGGCCAUGGCGAGCUCGAACUGCCGCAUGUCGAGCGCCGGCAGGGGCAGCGGGUACUGCUCCGGCGGCUGGUGCUGGUGCUGGGUCGCCGGCGCGGCGGCGGCCGAGGUGGACGCGGACGCGGACGAGGAGGAGGAGGAUGCCGGUGGUGGGGGCGGCGCGGCGCGGUUCCAGGAGCGGAGGCUGGUGGUGGUGCUGGUGCUGCCGUCCCAGCCGAUGUGCGCCACGUGCUUGACGUCCGUGGGGAGCCCGAUCACCAUCUCCCGUUCCUCCUCCUCAUCGUCCUCGUCGUACACCGCGAAGAUCUGGGACAGGUUCUUGAACCCGCGGAGGAGCCGCGCCACCAGCGACUCCCCCUUGCCCGCCGCCGCCGCCGCCGCCGGCCUCGCCGACGCGCCGCCCGGCACGACCCCGAACUCAAUCCCUGCUACAUGUCAAUCAAAUCGAGAAGCUUCAGUAACUUGCACGCGACACGCAUGGCGGCCAGGCGGCACGGGAAAGAAUCAAAGCUGCUUGUUCCUGUCAAUUGGCACAGCACGCACGUACCUUGCGGGUGGGGCUUCUUGCCGGCGUGGCGCGCGGUGUCGACGACGUCGACGCUGGAGUGGGAGCGGCAGCCGGAGGAGAAGGGGAUGGCGAUGAACCGUCGCGGCGGCUGGUCCUUGCUCAUGGCAGGCACUGCUGCUGGAUUAUCCACGUUUGGACAGCCGCGCGGCGCCGAACCCAACCGGAACUGCCCCUUGACCUGCUGACUGCUGUUGGAGCAAGCACCAAGCCGAGCAGAUAGCAGCAGCGGCAGCCGGGCAGGUAGUGAGCCUUUACUCCAGCGAAAAGGGCGCGUUAGGUCCGCACGCGCGCGCCGCAGCACUGGCCCCGCCGGCCACUGGUCGCCCGCCAAGUUCGUUGCAGCGCAGCGCAGCAGGGGAAGAGGCGAGCGGAGCGGAGGAGGGCAGCCGAAUACUAUAGGCGUAGUAGGCGUAGAAGUGGUGGCGCCACUACCAUGGCAUACAGCCUACUGCUCCUACUUCUAUAUUGACGUGGCCGCGGCGCGGCGCGGUGUGUGCCACUGCCAGUGCUCUCCUCUGUGGGGGUAGGAAAGAGACGGGGCGCGGCGGGGCCGGAGUGGUUUGCGGAUGGGGUUUGGGUUGGGUGGGUUGGUGUUGCUGUUGGGUUCGGUACCCACGCCACCCGAACCCCAACGCCUUUGCGCCGGGUGCAAUUGCGAUUUGCAAAUGCCGCAGCGGGCAGGUCGCGGCAGACAUGCGCACUGAUGGGCGGAUGGGCUUGGUUGGGUGUGCGCGCUGCAGCCGGAGCGAGCGAGCGGCCGCCCCGCCGGCGGCUCCGUUCGUGCGCCUGGGACGACCUGGACCAGCGCGAGCGCCCAACUGCUCCUCCACAGCCCUCGCAUCUCCUCUCUCUCAGUGGCCGCCGCUCCGUGCCGUGGAGAAGGGCAUCAGCAGAGUCUCCCGAAGUCUGAACCUUCGGUGGACCAAUGCGGCGUGGACGCUCCCGUGGUCCUGGCGGUGUGACGGUGUUCAUGUCACGUCCCGCGAUGUUUCCAGAUUCCAGCUUUGCCAGUGGGCCAUUGGCACUGGCUACGGGGAUGGAUUUCCGGUGUCGUUUUACCUUGCUAAUCGGCCUGCUCUUGUUUGUACUCGCGUACAUCAUUACUGAAUACACAAUGAAAGAAAGUCCCCGUAACAUGAGUGCGAUCGUAUUAUCCGUUUUGGGAGAAGUUCAGGUAUGAUAAAGACCUGCUACGCAAGCAAGCAGACGAAGUUUAGACGAGUUCCUUCGAUAGACAAGGGGAUACUGUUCAACGAAAGGAAGAAAGAAUAGUGGCUCAGUAUCUUUGCUUCUCUAUGGAAAAAAAAAUGAAAAAGGAAUACAAGACAACCAGGAUCCAGUAACAGUAAACUGUUGACUACCUCAUGGGCUUACCCACAGCGAGAUGGGCCGGAAAAUUAUGGACAAAAAAUUUGUGGAGCAGCAUGAAGCAACCGGGCGGGCUGUGACUUAACUUCUCUUGGGCCUAAUAUAACACUCAGAUCAAGGGAAGGGCCCAUUUGUUUCGAAUAGUGUGUGUGAUUGUGUGAAUACGCGCAUCUCUCAAUCUCUUCUCCUCCAUGUCACGUGGACUCUUUUACUCUGCCAUCCUGCCCCCAUUUCGGUGCCGUAUUUUUCUUCGGAAGAGUAUGCAUAAGUAUUGGGAUGAACUGGUGGUGUUAAGAAAAUGCACAACAGGGGUCGUGACUCGCGAGAAGACAAAAGCUGAGAAGAUUAGGCUUAGAAUUGGACCGUGAACAAAGUUUUGUUAUCAUCAGAUGGUGACAGGAACAAUUUGGCAGUUCAGUUCCAACAUCCAACCAAGAAAAAUAAGGACAGGGUAGAUGCUCAUGUGAUCAAACAAGCGGAUGCUUUGGAAUAGAACAGGUAUAAUCAUUGGCUCUUGGUGCUGGUUAGUCAAACCUAACAAUCACUCUGAAAUGUAGCUAUACUGCUAUACACGCAUUGCGUAAUGUCAUUUUUAUUGCAUCGUAACAUACUUGAACAAUCAAUCACAUCCCAAAAAAAAUUGUAUGAAGCAGCAAACACCAGUUUUGGUGUUCGCCAGCUCAAACAGCUUGAUCGAUCAUUUGAAUUCACCUAAGGGUUUCAACUUCACGGAUUCCAUAGUGGCGGCAAUUCACCGCUCACUUCCUCCUCUAAGAAGAAGCACAGGAAGAUCACGGUGAAGGUGAGGAUGCGAUGGACGUGAAGAGAGCCUAGAUAAUAUAUAAGGCAACGGCGGCGAGCUCGAUCCAUCAGAAGAUGUCGAGGAUCUCCUGGAUGAAUCCGUUGCAGAGCGGGCAGUUGCCGCGGCUGACCCAGAGCUCGCGGGAGCAGAGCCGGCAGAAGGUGUGGCCGCAGGGAAUGAAGGCCGCGCCCUUGUGCCGCACCAUGCACACGCAGCACACGUGCACCAUCUCCUCCUCCCGCCCCUCGCCGUCGUCGUCGUCGUCGUCGCCCUCGCCGUUCUUCCGCGCGCCGCCGCCGCCGCCCUCGUCGUCCUCGUCGUCGUCCCACUGGCUGUCCGACUGCUCCAGCAGCGCCAUCAGCGACAUCUGCGCCGCGGGCGCCUCCUCCUUGCCUUCCUCCUCCUCCUCCUCGUGUCCCUCAUCAUCCUCGUCAUCGUCAUCUUCCUCCUGGUCGUCGCCGCCACCGUCGUCGUGGCGUUCCUCGUCGAGAUCGCGGAAGUUGUACGUCGCGGGGCGCCUGGAGCUGGACCGGGAGGAGGCGGGGCCGACCCGGGUGGACGCGACGCGCGAGAACGUGGGCGUCGCGCGGAGCGAGGGCGCGCGGGAGAAGGUGCGGGAGAACGCCGCCGCCGCCUCGCCGGGGGAGUAGUUGUACCUGUUGCUGCGGCUGUUGGCGCUGCUGCUGUUGCUGAGGUCGCCGCUGUUCGUCGGGGCAUGGGCCGCGGGCGCGGGCGCGCGGGGCUUGGGCGGCGGCCAUGCGGCCGCCGCGCGGCGGAGCCGGAGCCGGUCACGGAGCGGCUUCCAGCCACUCGUCCCGCCGCCGCCCGCGGCGUCUCCGGCCGCGGGGCUCCCGCCGACGUCGGCGUCGUGGGGGAUCUUGAGGAAGUCGCGGAUGGCCGGGUCGGACGUGGACAACUGCUCGGAAAGCGUCAUGGUCCGCCGCAUCUCCGGCCGCCGGCCGUCCAUCUCUUCGCUAGGUCGCCGCAGCCGGUUGGUGCCUGGUUCGCGUCGAUCGGGGGUGUUGGAGGCGAGUCGAUAAGGUGGCGGUAGAUGCGGGGAGGUGGCGUCUUAUGGCCGGGUUGGAUCGCGCGCGAGGAGGGGGGGAAGGAGAGAAAGAGCCAGAGAGGCGUUGUAUUUGUACAGGGCAGGUUGGAGCGGGUCUCGCGGGCUUUUUAAACGGGGGCUAAACAAUUACCGCAACGUGCGGGGGAUGGGGCCACAAUUACCGUGCUGCCAUACUGCCAUGCAUGCGUAAUCGCCGGCCUUCCUUUUUUAGGGUAGGGGAGUUCUCAAGAUGUGUAGCACCAUGCACCAAUUUUGGGAGCGUCUGGGCUAUUUGCAGCACCAAUUUUAGGUGCCAUAUAGAUCUGGAAUUUCAAUUUUCGAGAUGAUUGAAACAUAUGUUGGGACUUGGGACUGACAAUAAACCAGAAACGCACCCAACUUUUGGUUUGUAGACACUCUCCUUGGUGAGAAUUUUGCAAAAAACAAAAAGAACUUGACAAUUUUUCUUUUGAUUAGACAGCAUGAGCUGGAAAUUAAAAUAGGCCUUUUCCUGAAUCUUACUUGGUUACAUAUUUCUGUUUGCCACCUGCCAAGCUAUGAAUUUGAAUCUACCCACAGUAAAUUUCUAGUGUUCAGAGUACAGAUGAUAAUCCGAAGAAGAGUAAGCAUUUCCUGAAAGUAAAUUUCUUGUGUUCACAGUAAAUUUCCUGAGGUGGCUACUUGAACGGAUUAUGCGCGGUGCGUCUAAGCAACGGCAUGUCGACAACGGGUACUGGUUUUUCGUUCUUUACUGUUAACCACGCAUAAGAGUACGCUGAACCUCGAAAUACGUCACAAUUUUUUAACCGCUUUGACAGUGACAGAAAAUAGUAGAAAAGAACAGAUUGUACCACCCUAGUUCUUUUACGAUUUCCUCAAUCCAAAACUUCGUCAAAAUUAAAUCUUCGUGCGUGCGUGAUUCUACCAUUGAGCGUAGCUGCUCAAGUUUAUGAACGUUUAGUGUCGCCGACUCAACGAUGAAGUCCAAACAGGGGAGAUGUACACUCGAAGCUCCCCAUUCGUCCUCCAUCAGAGCAUCAUGAUAGCUGUCCGGUUUGGUGUUUGGUUGGAGAAGGACGACGACGACGACGACGACGACGUCGCUGCUACCAGAUAACCUACCCGCAUUAUGUAUUGUAGGUGGCCGCGUACGUGCGCGUGUUUGGCGGUAUGUGCGGAAGCCUUCGAUUUUGAUAGGUCUGGCUGGCCAUUAGAAAAAAAGAAAGCUCAUAGACCCGCUCUGCACGCUGCCCUGCUGCUGCACUGACGCUAAUCAAUCCCUCUUGCAGAUUGCUAUUGCAACCACUCCAGUUGACCUCUCCACAGCUACUGAUCGGGUAAGGCUUAUUGGCACGGCCGGAUCUUCACUGUUGAGGUGUAAUUGGGGAGCGUGAAGGAGUUAGGUGAGGCGGCGUAGUCUGCAAGAGAAUUUUACUUGCCAUCUCCUGCUGCCCCGCAGUCUGAACUGAACGUCUGUCAGGUCCUUGCACAUGAUUUGCCAUCAAGGUAUUUUCAUUGCAACAUAGGGAAAUAGGGAAUCAUUAGCACCAAUGCACUAUACUGGUUCACGAGAGCGAUGAUCCGAGCGACAGUGUUCCAUGUGAGAUGAUGAUUGCAAUUUGGAGUGCCAAUAAUGCUCCGCGCUACGAAACAGAACAAGACCGUGCACUGGAGAAAUGCCAAAACCAGCAUUCGGAUUGGAUCCGGCGGAGCAGCAAAGUCUCGGCUGGGGCAGCCCUUGUUCUUCGCAGGAACGACACGAGGCGCCAUGAUGAGGAAGGAGGAGGGGACGGGUGGUUGGGCUGCCCCGGCACCUGUCGCUCCGCGCGCCCGGGAAACGCUGCGCCACCAACAAGCUGUGAGAGUCUCCACCGCCAGCCUGUGGCCGUUGUUGGCCGGGUUCGUUGCCUCCGCCUCCUCCUCCUCCCCGACGGCAACGGCGACGGCACGUGCGAGCUUGCUGUUAUGGGCCGGCAGGGAAGCCAGAUCCCGCCUCGUGUUCCCCCGUAGCGUAGAGCUUUGGCUGUCGUCUGUCUCAGUCUCGCAACCAAGUUGUUGUCAUAUCUUUAGAGGCGCCAACGACUUUGCUGCUGCCACUUAGUAUGGAUUGGGAAGAGAUCCGUCAGCGUCUGACGGAUGGGUGUUUAGUUGUUUGCAGAAAUAUAGUGAGUGGUAUUUCCGUGUCCAAACGGCAACAGGUGGCGGCUACUUCAACUGACAUGGCAGCACUGUCUUGCAGCUAACGGAAAUGUUGUGUGAUUUCAUCGCUAAUGUCCUGUUGCUAAGCCUUUGACAAUGGCUGACUAGAAGCCAAUAAGCCAUACGCUCUUUGAGCAAGAAAGGAAGAAAGAAAAAAUAGGAAAGGAAAAGGAAAAAAAAGGAGUGGUCACGUUUCAAAGAAAAGAAAGAGUGGUCGUAUCCAAAUGAAAUUGAAACAGGACAGUUCCAUUCAACCGGAACGCAGUGGCAGUAGACAUACGGGCGCGUCAAUCCGUGCCGCUGUCGCUCCCAGGUCCGGGCGUCCGGCCUUGCGCACGGCAUCGACGGCGAUUGGCGACCGUGCCGGGGCCCGGCUCGCCCGCGCGGCGCGGAGCUCAGGCGCGGGCUCCCGUUCGCCCGGGGCCUCCUGACGAGCCCUGCCCUUGGGCUCCGGCUCGUUCGUCAGGUGCAGUGUGCACCCAGCACCAGCAGCGUCGCUGUCACAAGGCCAGCAAAGGACACCAGCGCCGUUGCCGUGCCGUCGCCCGGACGACGAGCAACAGAUGGACCAGCUAUCGUUUCGCCAGGGAUCCGGCAUAAGAUCUUGGGCGCACUUGCGAAUCCUGACAGCCGCUCGCAAGCCAAGGACACAGGACGGGAGACGGGACCAUGGAUGCGUUUGCAAGGCUGCAGAUGUCUCAUGGACCGAGUGCCUCACACUGAUCCAAUCCGGACUCUUACCGAUGAGCAGUGACACAACAGCGGCGAGCAGCCUGUGGGCAGCCUUGUUACUCUCCUGCUAUGCUGGGAGUCCUUGCAUUGGACAGACAUGAACAUCUGAAGCCAUUUGAAGCCGUUGGACAUCACAUCUGAUCAAGUUUCAGACAUGAACAGAACAGCCCAAUCAACAGGAAACAGAAAGGAAGUUCAGUCUGUCAGGCUCACAUCUGGCAGAUUUUAUAUAAUAUCACCAAACCAAUAUGUCCAUACUUAUCAGGUUACAACCAACUAUUUAGCCUUUGAACAACAGAAAAACAAGCACACUUGCGACACCCCUAGUACAUGCGUACACACACGCUCUAUCUAAUACCUAUCCCAUAAAAAGAAACAGCAAGCACGGGCAAAUGCUCCCCAAGGGGGGAAAUGUUACAAUCACUCUACUAAGGCUAAGGGUAUGCAUUUCUUCGGCCACAGACCAAUUGGGGGCAAACCCAGAGCGCCAGAAAUGCAAAAUCAAAUCUCCUACUGGGCACCGUGCAUCGCAAUGGUCAGCUUAGCCUAUGGUUCUGGUGAUCGUGAUGCUUCCCUUCCCCCCCUCGGUGUGGAUCUUCGUCUUGUGGACCACGGGUUUCCCAGAGAUAGCCGAAGCUUGGUGCGAGUUUGGUUCCUCGUCGUUCUUGUGCUUGAUCUUGUAUGGCGGCGGGGCGUGGAUCUUCUCGUUUAUGUCAUUCAGCGUGAUGUGGCCAUUGAUACUGCAUGGCUUGAUAAGCUCGAAAGGGAAGGCCACUGACGUUCUCACCUUCUUUGCUCUGAUGAUAUUUCUUCCAGCUAUGGAACAGAUAAAAGUGAACGAGUUCAAUAGGCAGGAAGUACGACCGAUAUGCAAUGUUCUUGAAAAGGAAGAAUAAAAGCCACGGUGCUUUAAGCAAACUGUACAAGAGUUAGGCACACCUUUCAGAGGUGUAGGUCCAGCUUGAGCAGGGUUGUUGCGAACUAUGAUAGCUUGUUCACAAGGCAAAGAAUUCUGAUGCACUGAAAAUAAGCAUAGCAUUGAUUUUAUCAGCAACUUUGAAUCUGCUAUAAACGGCAAUACUGAAAACUCAUGAGAGGUUUGUACCAACCAGAGAUAUCGUUGACUUUUUCCACAGCAGUAGCAGGGCUAGUCCUGUUAAGGAGGUUCAGAAACCAUAAGAAGCAAUAUUGAAUCUUCAAUGGCAAUUAAUUAAACAACUAAUAAAGCCAAGCACUUAUGGAUCGGAUUACGUACAUUUCUUCAGCUGGGAGAUGAGGCUCGCUAUCUUGUGAGCAAUUAACUAACCAUUCUUCUGGCAGUUCAUCUGUCCCGUCAGAGUUCAAUAAACAGUUGGCACCUGGAGUUACCACUAUAAUUAGGAGGAACGGGAAAGAACGCACCCAGACUAAACACCAAAAGCCUAACAGAGAUGAUUGAACAUACCUUGAAAAUCCAUCACUUGCAGACUUUCUGAAAGCCCACCAUCAGUAAUAGGACAGGUCAUCUGGAAUAAGAAAGGCAUUAUACCAAAGAAGUCAAUACAACAUACCACUGCAUCUAAUAAUCAAAUUGACACAGUUGCUGACAAUAAAAACACUAUGAAGUUCACUUCAUUUUAAGAAGGGGGGCAUUGAUAGAUCCAUCAUAGAGCAUAUACCUCAAUAUUUUCAGGACAGAACUGCAGCAUGCGUCUGCGUUUAGCCUGUAAAGUUUCCUUCCCUUCUUCAAAGUCCUUGACGAUGAUAUCUACAUUCAAUCUUAACUGUUUCAGAAAAUGCAACUAAUAUUGAAGCACAUUUUCAGUGUUUGACAAAAAGGCCAGACGAAAUAUAAUUAGGAAAUACCAAGUGGAAUCCAUUGCUAUAAUUAGAUCACAUCCUACAUAAUUGCAUAUAGGACAAUUUUAACACGGGUUCGAAGUAAACAUGUGCAAGAGGGAAAUGACAACCAGCUGACUUUUUAUUUUAUUAGUCAUUCUGCUUUGUAUAUGUACACUUGUGGAGUUACAAGUUACUAUGGUUAUUACGAGGUAGCGUCAUUAACACAAUUUCAGAGAGCUGAGAGAAUUUGAUAACAUUUUUUUCUUGAACACAAUUAGAUAACAUAUUAACGUGCAACUGGUUGUAUGCAGACUGGUUCAGUACAGGUCAUUGGCAAUUGAAAACCAUUUAUGCAGAUAACUUGGUGAAAUUGUUCAGAAUAUACAUUUAAGGUGAUAACUGUUGAUUUCAUAACCAUGAGAACAAGACAUUACCUCCUAUAUCACAGAACUGAAAUUCAAAGUCUGUACAAUGUUUAAUUGGAGUUUGCUCAUCAAACAUGCUCCAAUCAUCACCCACACUGUUGCUUGCUUCAGCCCACAAACUGCUGCAGGGAUCUGCCAAAUCAGAAAUACAAGAUGCUCAGCUACUUUGGGUAGAUACAUAUUUAGGGCAGAAUGAGUGAUGCAAAGUGUGGGGCAAACCAGCUAACAGAUCUUUCUGCAGACAAUACUCCUGACUUUGCCAUCCCCAAAUCUCUCUGUAAGAAGUUCCACAAUGACAAGCGCAGUUAGAAGUGAGCAGUCAUGCACAGACUUGAAGAAAUUUUCAGAUCAAGGAGUGAAAGCACAGAGUAUAAAAGUCUGCCCAAUCUAAUGUUGUAUGAAGGGUAAAAAAUUUUACAGUGAAUGAUACUUAACACCUGAACUCAAUGUUAAACUUGGGGAAUAUAGCUUGUAAAAAUUUUCACAGUGAAAUUAUACUGAAAACCAGAACUCGAUGUAAACUUGGGGAAUAUAGCUCAUAAAUUUUUUUACAGAGUUAUAUUGAACACCUGAACUCAAUGCUAAACCUGGGGAAUAUAUAUAAUGAACUCUGCAGCUGUGCUAACUACUGACAUGAAAGGCAGAGACACGGUACAAUUUCCAUCUUGCGGACAAGUCAACAUUGCUAGUGUUUCUUGUGGAAUGCAAGAAUUUUCAGAAAUCUCAGACAGCAGACUUGUGCCGGGCAAAAGCUUGUGAUAAUAAUCUAAUAAUGCAACGGAAUAUAACAAGAAAACCAUAAAUCCUUGGAUAAGUAAGCAAAUGCAUAGAAAGUGCUAGCCAAAACAAGACCACACAGCACGAAAUUUCUGAUGAACACGACGAGCAGCAACCCGUAGCUAGGGUUUAACAGCAAAAGCCCAAAACACAAACAACUACUACUAACUGAGGCGCCGCAGACCACAAAAGGAGCCAACGCCACACCAAAAGCUUCGUACAAAAGAAAGGAAACCACGAUCCUUGGCCCCCAUAAUUAGAAGUCUUUACCCCUUCUCCCUUACAUCAUCAUCAUACGCUACAUAAAAAUCACCGAAAAAAGGCGCAGUUGGUAGCAACUUGCACUAGUACUGCACCCAACAUCCGUACCAAAGAGGGCGAAAUUGGGGAUCAACAAGGGCAGGAAUCGAAGCGGAAAACAGAAAUAAACCGCGGUUUCGUCCCCCAGCCCAGCCACCAAAACGCCGCCUUUUCCGCGCCAUCCCGCCGUACGACCCCGAAUCACGCGCGACAUGAUUAAGUAUAAGCCCGGAGAGAGGGAGAGCAGCUCACCCCUGAUCACCAAUGGCGCCGUCGAAAUCCAUCCCCGCUCUCCGAGGGCCACGGAUUGGAUCCAGGAUUCGGAGCAGCUAGCACUCCAUCCACAGACAACGAUAGCGACGAAAGGUUCUCCCUCCCUCCGCGCCAACGAGGGGGGGCAGGUGAGGAGGAGGAGGUGGAAGAAGAAGUGGGGGGUGGGCAGUGGGCAGUAGGCAAGGCAGUUUCAGCGCUCGCCGCUCUCCCUCCCUCUGCCUCCUGUCCCUUUCUCUCUCUAGACAAGUCCAAAAAACCGAUGCUUUUAUCUCCUCUCUCACUCUAUAUAUAAAUUUGUGUGUGUGUCUCUCUCUCCUCUCCCUCUCCAAUGCGACAGCACAGUCUGCAGCGCAGCGGCACGGAGCCCGACGGAAACACAACGAAAGCAGCAAGGCACUGAUUAUCUUAUGACUAAUCCCAGCAACCGGUCCCUCCCCCGCGACGCGAUGAUCCUGCCGCGGACUUGAUUAAUUUAACCACACCUAAUCGCGAUUAUUAAAAGGCGGUUACCGGAGCAUUUGCAGGAACGCCCCUCGCCACUCGCCAGGCCGUGAAAAUUGCCGAGGAAGCUGUUGACUGGGCUUUGGAAGCUUGCACGGGAAGGAAGCCAAAGCCCAAAGCAAAUCCACGGGGUUUUAUUUGGUAAUUCUGGGCAAUUACUGCUGGUAACAAGUUUCAUGUACAUCCAAAGCGGAAAGGGAGAAAAUGAAUCGAACGCUACUCCGUUUUAGUAAAUGUUUUAGUGAAUGCUACAACGUGUUAAAUAAUGAUGAAAUUUAUUUGUCACGGCAGAAAUGGCAUGAGCAACAGUAAAUGUGCAAGCGUCAGAGGUAGAUCGGGGCAUUAACUGCGGACCCUGAGAGCUCAUGUGAUCCGGAGCAUUGAAGACGACGCUGUUAGGUGGGCCCGCUGGAUCCAUCUAUUCCGUGGCCCACAUGUCGGGAGGAGCUCCCUCCCUAUCCCGUUGUGUUGUUACAGGCACAUGGAGGAGCGUUGUGGCGUGAACAAAGUUCGAAGAAUGUCAGCCCUCUCAUUCGUCAGGCUCUGAUUAAUCAAAGGUUAUCCGAAAUCGCUUUAAGAUUGGGGGCGAGAUAAAAAAAAAGGGAAGCAGUAAGCAGUCUUGGCCGUGCGUGAUGAGCUGGCGCGGAUAGAAAGCGUACUUGCAGUAGUAAAACCGCUAGUACUUGUGCAGGUCGGUCAAAAAACUGUUAAAAAGGUGGUGCGGGCGAUUGGGUUUGGAUCUUGAUCUCGGUUGUUAUUACUGAUGGGGUGACGGAUCACAGAUCUGUUUACCGGCGAGGUUCUUGACGGGACCAUACGGCCUCGUGGAUCGUGUGGCUACCUUUAAUUUUCUCACGAUUACACAUGUCGGAUCGCCGGAAGUAUUCGCGAGGCGUUCGCCGGAAGUACAGAGGAUCACCGUUGCCGUUUGCAAAGGAGAUCGGACGCCGUGCGUAGAGAUUAGAGGAGUAUACGAUAAAUUCUAAAUUCGGUGCAUAAAAAUUGGGAGUGUCUAUAGCUCACUUAGGUGAACAGAGACUCCUUACAUGAAUUUCUGAGCUAUUGGAUUUAAAACCAGCAGCUUAGAUCCCUCCUAUCUCUCCAUUAUCUCCCCUUCCCACCCUCUUCUUCAGCCUCCUCCCCCCUCUUCUUCUUCCUCCCCCACCCCUCCGCCGCCCGCCGCCCAGGCCCUCCCCUACCCCUCUGGCGGCGUGGAGCUCCGGCGAACCUUAGCCCACCCGCGCCGGUUGCCUCCUGCCCCUCCCGCCGCUGCCUCCUACCGUCACCGUCACCAUCGCCGCCCCCGCCGCCGUGCCUCGCCGCCCCCGCACCCACCACCUCCACUGAACCAGCCUAUUAAGGCCGGCGGUGAGCAACCCCACCCGGCAAUCCCCGAACCCCUAACCCUGAACCCCUAAUCUCGCUGGAAUCUCAUCGGAGUUGGAGAAGAAAGUAUUUACUACGAAAUCAAGGGAAAUUGGGAUUUCAAGUUCUUACUAUGAAAUCAGGGGUUGGGACGGAUAUCAUGAUUCCUGUACGAUGAGUUUUACAUACGGUGCAUAGAGAUUGGAACUUCAGUUCUUACGAAGUUCGAUGAAAUCAGGGGUUGGGACGGUUCCUUAUCCUCGUUCUGCACUCGCAAAUUCCGUGAAAUUUGUAUUCAUCCUACCCUUGCUAUUACGUUUUCCUUUCCUAAUACUAAUAUCCCGUAAUGGAUCGCAUCAGGUGUACCAUCAGGAGUACGUAUUAUAUCCCCAACUCUCCGCACUUACAGGAGUAGCCCAAUACAGACAAAAGUCAGGUGGCAGAUCUGCAGGCAAAAUAACAAACAAGCCAUGGUAUCCUCAUUGCCUGCUCACGGUAAUCACAGGCUUAUCAACAUCGAAAUCAUAACGGUGACACGUGCAGCUCACGAUCUCCAACACCUCAGCAACAGAAAACUAACCAUGACCCUCGCCUCCGUGCACAGGGCGUACAAAGAGGCUCCGCAGAACGGAUGGACGGCAAAGCAAAGCUCGCUUCGAGGAGGCAAAACAAAUCACCGGCGAUCAUUGGGAGUACACACAGGGCAAGAUAUAUUAGGGGAUAGAUAAACGAGUCACAACACGCCAGAGUAUCGAAUUUCUUACUAAACAAGACUACUGAUGUCCUUCAGCAAUGGCACACGGAGAGCCAGAGCCUCACAAGUUGCCUCUCGAGACUUCUUUAGUUUCACUACGGAGGAAGGUAGAGCGCACGGCAGCGCUGCAAAAGGAGGCCGCAACAGGGGGCUUCUAAGCGCUAGGCACGUAGCCUCCGGUCUGGUGAAGCAUGGCGUCGAUCUCGUCGCCGUCCUCCAUCUCCAGCUGAACAGUAGAGAAACAAAACAUCAGUUACGCAUUCAUCUCUGUGUUAAGGGAGUUACUGCGAGCGAGUUUGCAGGCACACGCACCUCAUCAGGGGUCUGCUCACCGCGAAGCCUGCGGCCAUCAAAAAGGAAUGCAAUGGCAUUCAUGUCCACAGACUGGCGGUCGCAAUAGGCAUUCAUCAGCUUCUUCAGCUGGGUGGACCUCUUGAUGCGGAAGAACACCUCGUUGCCAUCCUAUAAUACGAGAGUAAGAGACAUAAAAAACUUGGCAAUGAGAAAUCAGAACAUUGAAACCUAAAACAAUCCAAUCUGUAAUGUAAAAAUGCUGCAACAUCCAACCUAAUCUUGAUCAGUAAAGGGAGAAUGCAAUCUUAAUCUCCCAAAUCAAUUGAUCGUACUAAAAAACUUAGUUAAAUGCAAGUUUCAACUUUUUCAUAAGACACAUGCUUGGAUUUCUGGAUAAUGCUUGAAGGAUGUCUCAAGUUAAAAAAGAAUAGCCAAGCAGAAUACUUAUAUUAUAAAAAAAAGAGCUCCACGACACUAAGUAUAAACAAAGUUUUAAUUGCACAUGCUGAAUGCCAUCCAGCAAAACAACACAAACCCCAGACCGACUGAAACAGGUCAGUGUUGGAUAAAUGUUUCAAUUGCAUAGUAAAUUAAUAUAGUCCAGGUAAACUAACCAAUUAGCAAGCAUGCAAGCUGAUGUUCAUCAGGUAAACCACUUAUGAACAGGCAACUUCAACAAUUCUUGAAUGGAUUGCAACAAGGGUUUCAGUAACCCAAGACUGACAAAGCUACUAACACUUCAAGCAACCUGAGCCAAGCGUGGCAUAAAAAAACUAAUAUACAGGUGCAGAUAAUAAUAACUAGUAGCCCACAUCCCAUACAACAGUAUAAACAAGUAUGAUCCUAAAAACACAAAAAAAAUAUCCAGUGCUAAAUUUUCCCAAUCAUGUUUCAACUGUUACAAAUAUCUACAUAAACAUAACAGAAGAGGAUUCUGAUAGAGUUCGGAUUACAUAUUGACUAAUCAGUUGAGUUAUGCAUAUCAAAUCGAAUUAAACCACCUACACAAAUGAGUACUUCAAGAAUUAACAACUGCACAGAGGAUCCGAUCAACAGAGUUAAUAACGCUGUGAAGUGAAGACCGGGGUAAGGUAAAUUACACGUGAGACCAAGGCACCUAACUUUAUAGAGUUCUAAUUGCUGCUGUUAACAAACAUCUAUCAAAAUUUAAAGAUGAGCAGUGUGGCAUUGUCCCUAGUACAGAUAGACUAAUCAACAAUUGAUGCCCUGUUCAUACAGUUAUUAAUGCCAAUAGUAGCAAUCCAGUUAAAAAUGGGGUCAACACAAGUCAAUCUAAAACACAGAAGUGAUUGAUCGCGACUUGGGAAACUACAUGCAAGGCGCAAUCGCCGAGAAUCUAAUAGCACGGAGACUUGACACCCCUAUCAGUCCCCAAAUUCACGGAAACCCUAGUGAUCUAAGCAACCACUACAUCGCGAUGAUCGCCGCAAGGGCGAGACAGAGCCACCAAAAUCGACUUAACCCUAAACAAUCCUAAGCAACCGCUGCAUCGCGACGAUCGCCACAAGGGCGAAACAGAGGCUAUUCUUUCGAAGCCGAAGGAGAUUAGGGGGAACCGUCGCCGCGCAUACCUGUCCCUUAACCUUGAGGUUGAUGUGGGCGCCGCCCUCCGCCGGCUUCUUGUCCUCCUCUCCGUUUCCCGACAUCGUCGUCGAAGGGCUCCGAGCGCAGCGGCCGUCAGAUUUCGCGGCGGAUUCCGGCGAUCGAUUGGUGGCGGCCGGAGCGGGUUGCGGGUGGGGCUCUGU
rnacentral:lncRNA from 1 species